AUGCAUUAAAUACUCCUUCAAUUGUGUAUCCCCUCUCUUUCCUCUUUACCUUCUCGAUCUCCCAUCGAGCCAACUCUCUCCCCCCAAGACGGCAAGAUGUACCAACGGAGAGCCACCUGUUUUCUCGUCAUCAUCGUCGUCCUCCUUCUCCCGCCCCUGCUAGCUUCCUAUCCAUGUGUGGCCGCCGCACAUGGCCCACCACGUCAUGCUCCAGGUACAUAUAGUUCCCUUUUGAUGUUUUCCGAAUAUGUGCUCCGUUCUUUGUAUGUAUAUACGGGCCCGUCGAUGUAAUUAUGGUGAUGGUGCUAGGUGGCGACGCUGGUGCGUGGGGUCAAACAGACGGGCCGCAUCGUCAAGGGGGGAAGGUGCCAGGGAUGGGAGCCGCGAGGCGCUUGGGACAGAGGAUACCGCUGACGGACCCUCCGUCGUCAAUCCCUAACAAGAACUCGGGGGUGGUGAUUCCCCUGUCGCCGCCACCACCGCCGUUGAUCAAUUAAUAGGUGUUGGGAGUCUGGGUACGAGCAUAUUCCAUGGUGACUUCUGUGCACCUCUGGUCUCUUACUAAUGUGUUACAAGAAUAAUGUUGCUGGUGUGAAAUAAGUUGUCAUGCUUCAAAGUCUUAAAAUGUAUUGUUCACUUCUCUAUAUCAACCUGGACUUCUGAGGUAAAUGGUGGAAAUAAAUCUUUUUUGUUUCGGUGUGUUGCGUGGAUAUGCACCACAGCAUAAGGAACGGCUAGCUGCCGUGUACGAAAGCACUUUUGGCCAGCGGUGUCAAACAAAGUUCGACGCAAUUAUAUACUGUAUUGCACAACUACUCGUAUAUAUGACGCUCACUUAUCUCCGGUCUAUACAGGACAAAUAUGGUAGCCGACAAAAGUGAGUUCCAUGAGCUUGCAUAUGCGCCUCCAUGUGAGACGUGAAGGUGACUAAAAAAUGCCAUUCACAUGUCAGUUGGCAAAAAAGGUAGCACUGUAAUCUUCCAUGCUUAAGGGCAUCUUCACGGGUAACCUGUAAAUUUUCUCCCGCAUCCGUCCGCGGACAGAGAUCAGUUUAUGGACACGAAUGCAGAAGGCCACCAUUCAAUCGUAGUUUGUAUAUGUCCGUCAGCAAAUUCAAAUUUAAAUGUACACUGAUCUACACAACAUGUCGGAUCACAUCCGCGCCGGAUCGUAACCCCGAUCACAACCAAAAAAAAGGGAAAUAUGCUUAGUUUUUACAUAUCCGAAUCCAAAAGAACAUCAGCCCAGGUCCAGCAGUCCGUGCAUUUCUGCCCUGCCGGACCGGCAAUCCCAGCAAGCUGCUCCUCGAUCAAGGAGGUGUCGUUGCCGCCGCGUAGGCAUCCCCCGCAUCCGCGUCAGCCUCCGCCUCCGCCGCGUCCUCAUCUUCUGUCGCCGCCAACUCUUCUUUCCAACCCUCCAACAUCUGGUAGCGGACGGAUUGCGCGAUAAUUCUAGCGCUGGCAUCCAAAGAGUCGAUAUUCAAGGUCAAUAUCUUGGCAUCCUCCGCAUUAGCGGCGAUCUUCACCCUCUUUUCAUCGAGCACGGUUUCUUUUCCUCGAGCGCGACCUUCUUCUCCUCGAGCACCGCUUUCCUCUCUUCGAUCAUGGUCCUCCUCUCUUCGAGCUUGAUCUUCUUCUCCGUCGCCUCUAUCAACUGUUUGAACCUAUUCGCUAGCUCCAUCUCCUACAGGUUCUCCGACGUUUCCAUGCUCCGCCUUCCUUUCGGGUGGGCCAGGGGGCGGAGAGCGACGUUUCGCGUGUCUGGAGUCCCGCAAAGGCCCUCACAUUUUUCUUCGGUUUGCGGGAGAAAUCACGUCCGGACCGCUCCGCGGACCGAUAUAAAACAACGAUGGCUGUAGGAUGGCUUUCCAUGAUUCGGACAGCGGCGGACGGUUACCGGAGGUUUGAGGGGCGUGGGGAUGCCCUAAUUAAGAAUCCUCUUGGACGUAGGGUAGAGUUGAACUCGUGUUCAACUACUGCUAAGAAAUACCGCACUCGCGGGAUCCAGGACAGGACAAACGGCCGUGCGGACCUCGAGGUCAACACACGGAAGAGAAGAGACAAAAUUCAGAGUCCCGAGUCGACAAUUUAAGAACGCCGCGAAUCCUACAGUGAACAGCUAGCUCACAUCUGCAGAGUCUCACUGUCUCAGUGGCCAGUGACCGGAGCUGUACAGAUAUCUUCAGAUCUACAGAGUCCAGUGGUCUCCGAUCAACCUACAGCUCGACCGAUGCGUCGCCGGACGGCCGUCCGCGCGGCCCUCGUUGCCGCCGCCCUCCUUGUCCUGCUGGCCACGUACCCACCGACGGCGCGUUCUCCUCCAGGUAUGCAUACCGGCCACUGCGAGUUCCAAAUCCCAGCUUAUGUGUCAGUGUGUGUGUGUAUGAAGGGAUCGAUCGUGGUGGCCGCAUGCAGUGCUGCUACUGGGUGGCGACGCCGAGGCGGGUGCACGGGGUAGCCGGCCGGCGCAGUCGACGCCACGUGAGAGAAGGAAGCUGGGUGUGGUAGCGGGCCGGCGCUUGGGCCAGAGGGUGCCCGUGAAGCCACCCUCGCCGGACCCCAACGGCUGGAAGACGAUGGUGAAGCCCGUGUCGCCGCCGCCGCCAUCAUCAGUGUACUAGGUGUACGAAAGCAGUAUGCCGAUCUGGUGCUCACUUGCCCAUGCUAUGCAACGUCGCGUACUUGCGCGUGGGUGGUGGCUGCAAAAUCUUGUCUUAAGAUUAACUUUUCAUUUCUUGUGCGGCUUCUAAUGGCACUUAUGGAUGACUGGAACGGUCUUUUGCUCCGUGCAAUCAUGAAACCAAAAUAAGGUUAAUACUCUACUCUUUAUUAUUUUUUGAGCAAAGCUUAAUACUCUGCUGGUUAAGUACAAAUGUUCUGGGCUUUUGGCGGGCUAAAUUGUGUAUGGGUCCAGCCUAGUUGUGGGCUUGCGGCUCAACUUCAUACAUUUCGCUUUGUGAGAGAGGUGAAGAUAGGGGAAACUUUUCGGCAUUUCCUAUACGGCGCUUAAUGCGCCUGUUACAGUAUAGUUUGCAAACGGGCGCACCCCCCGCGACCUCCUCCUCAUGUGCUAACUACGGUAGCCAUCCAGGAAACGCACCCCAAUGUGUUUGGUUACUCCAUUUUAUUCUUUCAUUCUUCCUUCUUUUCUUUUAUUUUUCUUAUUCUUGUUCUUUUUCCUUUUUUUGUUCCUUUUUCUUUUUGAAAUGCAUGAUUUUUUAUCAAAAUCGAUGAACUUUUUCAAACCCAUGAACUUUCAAAAAAUGGUGAACUUUUUUUCCACAAUUGAAGAACUUUUCUGAAUUCGUAAACUAUUUUUGAAAAUCCAGUGGUUUUUUCAAAUUCACUAAUUUUUUCUAAAAAAAUAGAUUUUCUUUUUCAAAAUCCAUGAACUAUUUUAGAAUUCGAUGAACAUUUUUCAAAAUCAAAGAAUUUUUUUCAGGUUUUGUGAACUUUUUUCCAAAAUUGAUGGUUUUUUCAAAAAAUGAUGAACUUUUUUUAAAAAUUGGUGAACUUUUUAAGAAAAUUUUUAUGAUAUUUUUUCAAAAUUGAUGAACUAUUUUUGCAUGUUCAUGAACUUUUUCAAAGUUAAUAGGGCAACUUUUUUUGCAUGUUCAUGAACUUUUUCCGUAAUCUAUGAACUUUUAAGUUUUUCUAAAGAAAAUCACGUAUGAGUGGUUGUAGUUGUUCAUAAAGUAUUAGUGUUGCGAGGUACUCCAGUGGUUAGGCUAACCCACGAUAAGAGUGUAGGGCGCGAGUUCGAUUCAUCGCGACAAGCCGACAACACCUUUUGUGGGGGGGGGGGGGCGGUGGCACUUUUAAUACCAUUCUACGCUAACAACACUGAAUAGGAGCUCCAAAAAAAUUUCAUUCACGUGGCAAUUAACAAAUAUGUAAAAUAGCGUGAAGCGUAUGCCUUAGCAGGGACGCGUUGCGUGUUUAUAUAUGCAUAGAGAUUACAGGGUUAGUUGUCAGGUAGUUGCUAGAUUGAUCUCCAUGUAAUGAUCUAUACAAGGGAUAUACGAGAUCAUCUACAACAACCCUAACAACCAGAUUAUAGACGCAACGCAGCCCUUAUCUACUCGCAUGUACGGUUUAUACGCAUACCGUACAUACGUUUACAAUAUACACUUUAACACGGCCCCUCAAUCACAACUUCACCAAGUUGAGAUUGUUCUUAAACUCUUGCAACUUGCUCCAUGACAAGGCCUUGGUAAACCCAUCUGUAACUUGAUCAUUUGUAGGAAUGAAUUGUAUGUCUAGUAGCUUCUUGGCUACUCUUUCACGAACAAAAUGAUAAUCAACUUCAAUAUGUUUUGUCCUUGCAUGAAACACUGGAUUUGCUCACAGAUAAGUAACACCAAUGUUAUCACACCAUAAGCGUGCAACAGAAGAGUGUUUUAUGCCAAGUUCAUUAAGCAAUGCCUGAACCCAUAUUAACUCAGUUGUUGCAUUAGUAAAGCUUUGUAUUCAGCUUCAGUGCUAGAUCUUGACACAAUAGCUUGCUUCCUUGCACUCCAAGAUAUAAGAUUUGGUCCAAAGAAAACCGCAAAGCCUCCUGUAGACCUUCUGUCAUCAGGACAACCUGCCAAGUCUGCAUCAGAGAAGACACUUACCAAAGUUGAGGUUGAUUUUGUGAAUUUUAACCAUGUACUCAUAGUACCUCUGAGAUAUCUCAGAAUCCUUUUGACUGCAGUCCAAUGCUGAAGAGUAGGAGCAUGCAAAAACUGGCAUACUUUGUUGACGGGAAAACAUAUAUCAGGUCUUGUAAGUGUUAAGUAUUGCAGAGCACCUACAAUACUUAUAUAAUUUGUAGCCCCUUCGGCUCCCAAAGGCUCACCCUCUUCUUUAGACAACUUUUCAGUGGUUGAAAGAGGCAUAUUUGAAAUCUUACAAUUCAUCAUACCUGAUCUUUUCAGUAUAUCUGACACAUAUUUUUCUUGACUUAGUAGUAUGCCAUCUGUUACCUUCUUUACUUCUAUGCCCAAGAAAUAAUGCAAGUCACCAAGAUCUUUUAGAGCAAAAUCCUUCUUAAGAUCUUCUAAUAGUGCAUUAGUUGCUUCCUGUGAUGAGCUAGCCACAAUUAUGUCAUCAACAUAUACCAACAUAAAAAUAAUUACUUUGCCUCUUUUAUAGAAGAAGAGAGAUGUAUCUGCCUUUGAGGGUCGAAAUCCAAGCCUUAGAAGUUUUACACUUAGCCUAGAGUACCAUGCUCUAGGUGCCUGUUUUAAGCCAUAUAAUGCUUUAUCAAGUUUGCAAACAUGAUGUUGCUUGCCUUUUACCUCAUACCUAGGUGGUUGUUUCAUGUAAACUUCCUCCUCUAGAGCGCCAUGAAGGAACGCAUUCUGCACAUCCAAUUAACGAAGACUCCAACUGUUUGAUACUGCAACAGAGAGAACAAGUCUGACAGUAGCUGCUUUAACAACAGGGCUAAAAGUAUCCUCAUAGUCUAUUCCAUAUCAUUGUUUGAAACCUUUUGCCACUAGUCUAGCCUUGUACCUGUCUAUCUCUCCAUUAGCUUUCCGUUUAAUUCUGCAAAGCCAUUUACGAUCAAUGAUAUUUCUCCCCCUUGCUGGAGGGACUAGUCUAGCGUUGAACAAGGGCAAUAUAUUCCUCAUCCAUAGCAUUUUUUUCAAUUUUUACUUUCAAAAGCCUCACUUAAAUUGUUGGGUUCACCCGUGACAGCAAGACCUCCAAAACGCUUGUCAUACCUGACCGUACCAUCAGUACGAAUUUUUGGUUUGGAAACUCCAUGUUGUGACCGUGUUCUUGGCGAUGGCACAGGAACUGCAGCAGAAUCCCGUGGCGCAGAGGAUCCGGCGGAGUCCGAGGCAGCAGCACGCAGUCCAGCUGCGCCCGAAACAAGGCGGAUGCUGUCGGAGCCAUGCAGGGCGCCCGAUCCAAGGCGGAUACUGUCGGAGCCAUGCAGCGGCGCACCCCCGCGCGUUCCCUCGUCUGCAUCGGGCUGGGCCACUUGGCGAGGCCCAGUUGGUUGGGUGGCGGAGUCGAGGGACCGUCCGGUCGGAACGUCGAGGCAGAUGGCGAGGUGGAUGGCCCGCCACCAGUGUGGGGCCCACCACGAGACAUCGCUGUCUCGCCCGCUGGGCCGCGGGGGGACGUGUGGCCGCCUGGCGAUGGCCCGCCUGGCCACGAGGCAGAUACGCCACCACUGCCUGGCGCGGUAGGCGAGGACGGAUCGCCUUCGGGAUCGCUGCCGUGAGGAUCUGGCGCAUCACCUGAAUCCACCUCGUGUCCUAUGUUUGUCCCUUGCUACUGCAUAAAAUCAUGACGCAAAACAGGAUUUCCACCAAAAUUUAUAGCAGGAUUUGCAUGAAAAUUACCCGAAGUGUCAUUAGCUAGAUGUUCGUCCCCCUGAUCAGCAGAGGUAGGCAAAAGGAAAGAUUGUUUCGUCAAACACAACGUCACGUGAGAUGUAGACACGUCCAGCAGCGAUAUCUAGGCAUUUGAAACCCUUGUGAAGAUUGCUAUAACCAAGAAACACACAUUGCUUUGACCGGAAUUCUAACUUGUGAGAAUUGAAGGGACGGAGAUUAGGCUAGCAAGCACAACCAAAGGUGCGAAGAGCAUGGUAGUUUGGUUUCUCAUGAAAAAGUUUUUCCAAAGGUGUUUCAAGGUUUAUUGCUUUGCUAGGGGUACGGUUGAUCAAGUAUGUGGCAGCGAUGAAUGCUUCAUCCCAGAAUUUCAAGGGCAUGGACGCAUGUGCUAGGAGGGAGAGACCAACUUCGACGAUGUGGCGAUGUUUUCGCUUGGCAGAGCCGUUUUGCUGAUGAGCGUGGGGGCAAGAAACAUGGUGUGUGAUGCCAAUUUGGCGAAAGAAGGAAUUUAAUCGCUCAUACUCACCACCCCAGUCUGUUUGCAUGGUGAUGAUUUUACGAUCAAAGAGUCUCUCAACAAGUGCUUGAAAUUCAUGAAACACUUUAAAGACUUCAGAUCUAUGUUUAAGAAGAAAUAUCCAGGUGAACUUGCUGUAAUCAUUGAUAAAACUCACAUAAUAGUUUUUCUUAUUUAUAGAAUCACGGGCAGGCCCCCAUACAUCAGAAAAAAUGAGCUCUAAAGGAGCAUUCGAAGUGCUACUAGAAUGCAGAUAUGGGAGCUGGUGACUUUUGCCUUUUUGGCAUGCAUCACACACUCCUUCUUUAUUCAACUCUUGAUUGGAAAAAUGAAUUUUAUUCUGCCUAAGAACGUGCUGGAUGAUUUGCAAAGACAGAUGACCUAAUUUAGUGUGCCACCUUGAAGGAGAUAUCUUGGUGGUGCCAAAAGCUUGCCUGCCCGAGUGUAACGAAGCUGAUGAUAGGGGAUAGAGACCGGCUCUACACCUGCCUUGGAGGAGGGUGCUCCUCGUUGCCUUGUCCUUGAUGAACAAGAAGCGAGGGUGAGUUUCAAGGAACACAUGAUUAUCUUGAGACAAACGAUGGGCAGAAACAAGGUUUUUAGUGGCUUUAGGAGAAUAAAGGACAUCUUUUAGAUGAAGAUUGCGAGUGGGAGUACGAACAUAAGCUUGACCAACAUGAGUAAUUUUCAUACCUGGCCCGUUGGGCAUGUUCACUUGGUCAUGGCCAUUGUACCUCUCCCUCAUAGUGUGUUUGUCCAGCUCGCCGGUGAUGUGAUUGGUGGCGCCAGUGUCGACGUACCAGUUGGUGUCGACGCCAUAGGAUGAGUUAGCCACGGCACUUGCACUCUUCUCCUUGGUGAAUGCAAUGUCAAAGCGCCAGUAGCACUCAAUAGCCGUGUGGUUCGGCUUCUUGCAGAUCUGGCAGAAAACCUCCGGGUGAUCGUCGCGGCCGCCUCCUCCUGCAUGGCCACGGCCACCGUGACCAUUGCCGUUGCCACGGCCGCCGUUGCCUCCAUUGCCAUGGCCACCAGCAUAGCCACGGCCACCUCCGUUCAUGCCGCGGCCUCCACGAGUGAAGCCACCACAGCCGCCGCAAGAAGCGACGUUGGUGGAGGAGUGGGAUGAUGAUGAGUUUCCCUCGAACAUGGCAAGGCGGCUCUCGAAGCUGGUCAACUGGGAGUAGAGCUUGUUGGGCUUGAUGGGGACGGUCCUGGCGCAGACGGAGGAGACGAAGGACAUGUAGUCAAAGUCAAGCCCGGCGAGGAUGUACGACACCAUGUCGUCGUCGGUGAGCGGCUUGCCGAUGGAAGCCAUCUCAUCGCCAAGGGCCUUCAUGCGGCCAAGGUACUCGGUGAUGGUGGAUGAAGAGGGCGAUCCUCGUGUUAACGAUGGCCGCCUGCGUCUGGGAGAUGAAUAUAUUCCUGAUUGCAGUCCAUGCUGCUGACGUCCUAGUGCAGUUUGCAAUCUGAACCAUCACAGGGGGUGAGAUGGAAUUGAACAAAAAACUCAGAACCUGAGAAUCCCGUGCCCUAUCGAUCUCAUAGGCCGGGUUGGGCACGUCAGUAGGUUUGCCGUCCUUGUCAGCGAGCUUGAGCGACGGGAUCUCCCUCUCUAGAUUGAGGUAGGAGACUAGCUGAGCGGCGCGGAUGGUAGCUAGGCUUGCGCACGCCAAACAUUGAAGUUGGAGCGGUGGACACUAGUAGAAAAAGGGGCUUUCAUUCGGACCUGGCCAGCCCAUUAGUCCCGGUUCUUCCACGAACCGGGACCAAUGGAGGCAUUUGUCCCGGUUCGUGAGCCCAGGGGGCCGGCCGGGGCCUCGUGGGCAUUGGUCCCGGUUCGUCUGGGCCCAUUUGUCCCGACUCUUGGCAUGAACCGGGACCAAUGAGCCUCGCUCCUAGCCCACAACCAUUGGUCCCGCUUCAUGGCAGGAACCGGGACAGAAGGAUGGCCUUUAGUCCCGGUUCCAGCCACGAACCGGGACAAAUGAGUUGCCUAUAUAUACCCCAUCGCCGGCGAGCAGAGCACUCCACAGUGCUCCAAUUUUUGCUGGCCGGCGAGGAAGGGCAUUUGGGUGCUCUAGCUCACCUCUUAUGCAUGUGAGGUGUUCGACGAAAUGCCCGAGCCACACUAGUUAAGCUUUCUCCUCUCGAAGCUCGACCUCCGAGCUCCAUUUUUUCCGAGAUUUGUCUAGGUUUAGCGGUCCAUCACGCCCCGUCCUCGUCUUCACCGCCGUCAAUCGCCCGCACCGAUCUCGUCGCCGACACCACCGUGGUGAGCCUCUUGUUCUUAUCUUCUUUCUGAAAGAAAAAAAUCUUACUUUAGAUAGAUACUUGUCUAAUUUUCUUACUUUUGACAUACAUAAUUAUAUAUAAUGCACGCAGAUGAACCGGCAAUGGAUGUACGGUGACAGACACACCUCUGAGUACAUUAAGAGCGUGCAUAAUUUUCUCGAAGUGGCUGAGGCAAACAAGCAGAAUGGUUUUAUGUGUUGUCCAUGCCCUAAUUGUGGGAAUACGGGGUCUUACUCUGACAAGAAAAUCCUUCACACCCACCUGCUUUAUAAGGGUUUCAUGCCACACUAUAAUGUUUGGACGAAGCACGGAGAAAUAGGGGUUAUGAUGGCAGACAACGAAGAAGAAGAGGACGAUGACAACUAUGUGCCCCCUGAAUACGGUGAUGCUGCAACGGGGGAAGCUGAAGAUCCAGAGGAACCAGACGAUGUGCCCGAUGAAGAUCUCCGCCGGGUCAUUGUUGAUGCAAGGGAAAAGUGCGACAGUGAAAAGGAGAACUGAAGUUCGAUCGCAUGUUAGAGGAUCACAAAAAAGGGUUGUACCCCAAUUGCGAAGAUGGCAACACAAAGCUCGGUACCGUACUGGAAUUGCUGUAGUGGAAGGCAGAGAAUGCUGUGCCUGACAAAGGAUUUGAGAAGCUACUGAAAAUAUUGAAGAAGAAGCUUUCAAAGGAUAACGAAUUGCCCGAUAGUACGUAUGCAGCAAAGAAGGUCGUAUGCCCUCUAGGAUUGGAGGUGGAGAAGAUACAUGAUGCCCUAAUGACUGCAUCCUCUACCGCGGUGCGUACAAGGAUUUGAAUGCAUGCCCGGUAUGCGGUGCAUUGCGGUAUAAGAUCAGACGAGAUGACCCUGGUGAUGUUGAGGGCGAGCCCCGCAGGAAGAAGGUUCCUGCGAAGGUGAUGUGGUAUGCUCCUAUAAUACCAAGGUUGAAACGACUGUUCAGAAACAAAGAGCAUGCCAAGUUGAUGCGAUGGCACAGUGAGGACCGUAAGAAAGACGGGAAGUUGAGAGCACCCGCUGACGGGUCGCAGUGGAGAAAAAUCAAGAGAAAGUUCUGGGCUGAGUUUGCAAGUGACCCAAGGAACAUAUGGUUUGCUUUAAGCGCGGAUGGCAUUAAUCCUUUCGGGGAGCAGAGCAGCAAUCACAGCACCUGGCCCGUGACUCUAUGUAUGUAUAACCUUCCUCCUUGGAUGUGCAUGAAGCGGAAGUUCAUUAUGAUGCCAAUUCUCAUCCAAGGCCCUAAGCAACCCGGCAACGACAUUGAUGUGUACCUAAGGCCAUUAGUUGAAGAACUCUUACAGCUGUGGAAUGGAACAGGGGUACGUGCGUGGGAUGAGCACAUGGGGGAAGAAUUUGACCUAAAGGCGUUGCUGUUCGUGACCAUCAAUGAUUGGCCCGCUCUCAGUAACCUUUCAGGACAGACAAACAAGGGAUACCACGCAUGCACGCACUGUUUAGCUGACACCGAAAGUAUAUACCUGGACAGAUGCAGGAAGAAUGUGUACCUGGGCCAUCGUCGAUUUCUCCCGACCAACCAUCAAUGUCGAAAGAAAGGGAAGCAUUUCAAAGGCGAGGCAGAUCACCGGAAGAAGCCCGCCAUGCGUACCGGUGAUCACGUACUUUCUAUGGUCUCUAAUUUACACGUAAUAUUUGGAAAGAGUCCAGGCGGACUAGCUGUUCCGAAUGAAGAUGAGGGACGCACACCCAUGUGGAAGAAGAAAUCUAUAUUUUAGGACCUACCCUACUGGAAAGAGCUAGAGGUACGCUCUUCAAUCAACGUGAUGCACGUGACGAAGAACCUUUGCGUGAACCUGUUAGGCUUCUUGGGCGUGUAUGGGAAGACAAAAGAUACACCUGAGGCACGGGAGGACCUGCAACGUUUGCACGAAAAAGACGGCAUGCCUCCAAAGCAGUACGAAGGUCCUGCUAGCUACGCUCUUACCAAAGAAGAGAAGGAAAUCUUUUUUGAAUGCCUGCUCAGUAUGAAGGUCCCGACUGGCCUCUCGUCGAAUAUAAAGGGAAUAAUAAAUAUUCUAGAGAAAAAGUUUCAGAACCUAAAGUCUGAUGACUGCCACGUGAUUAUGACGCAAGUGCUUCCGGUUGCAUUGAGGGGGCUUCUACCGGAAAACGUCCGAUUAGCCAUUGUGAAGCUAUGUGCAUUCCUCAAUGCAAUCUCUCAGAAGGUGAUCGAUCCAGAAAUCAUACCAAGGCUAAGGAGUGAUGUGGCGCAAUGUCUUGUCAGUUUCGAGCUGGUGUUCCCACCAUCCUUCUUCAAUAUCAUGACGCACGUCCUAGUUCAUCUAGUCGACGAGAUUGUCAUUCUGGGCCCCGUAUUUCUACACAAUAUGUUCCCCUUUGAGAGGUUCAUGGGAGUCCUAAAGAAAUAUGUCCGUAACCGUUCUAGGCCAGAAGGAAGCAUCUCUAUGGGCCAUCAAACAGAGGAUGUCAUUGGGUUUUGUGUUGACUUCAUUCCUGGCCUUAAGAAGAUAGGUCUCCCUAAAUCGCGGUAUGAUGGGAGACUGACUGGAAAAGGCACGCUAGGAGUGGACUCAAUAAUAUGCAGAGACGGGCAUUCUUGGUCUCAAGCACACUACACAGUUCUACGGAACUCUACCUUGGUGACCCCGUAUGUCGAUGAACACAAGAACAGUCUGCGCUCCAAACACCCGGAGAAGUGUGACGACUGGAUUACAUGUGAACACAUCAGGACUUUCAGCAGUUGGUUGGAAACACGUCUCAGAGGUGACACCACUGUUUGUGAUGAGCUGUACUCGUUGUCCAGGGGACCAUCUUCGACUGUAUUGACUUACAAAGGAUACGAGAUAAAUGGGAAUACAUUUUACACGAUCGCCCAAGAUCAAAAGAGCACCAACCAAAACAGCGGUGUCCGCUUUGAUGCAGCAACCGAGAGGGGAAAGGACACAUAUUAUGGUUACAUAAUGGACAUAUGGGAACUUGACUACGGACAUGAUUUUAAGGUCCCUUUGUUUAAGUGCAAAUGGGUCAAUCUAUCAGGAGGCGGGGUACAGGUAGACCCACAGUACGGAAUGACAACAAUGGAUCUGAACAAUCUUGGGUACACUGACGAACCGUUCGUUCUAGCCAAUAAUGUGGCACAGGUUAUCUAUGUGAAGGACAUGUCUACCAAACCGAGAAAAAGAAAAUAUAAGGAAGCGAAUACAUCAUACGAUGAGCCAAAGCGCCACAUAGUUCUUUUAGGAAAAAGGGACAUUGUGGGUGUGGAGGGCAAGACAGACAUGUCUGAAGAUUAUGAAAAGUUUCAUGAAAUUCCUCUCUUCAAACUCAAGGCUGACCCAAGCAUCCUGAUAAAUGAUGAAGAUUAGCCAUGGUUACUGCACAAUAAGCAAAGCACACAAACGAAAAAAUGAAGACUUUCUCUGCACAACUAUUAUGAUGAUACCAUGCCAACUUUCAACCUUUUCGUAGUUCAUUUGAAAUGCCUGUUGUAACAGACGAGUUUCCGUAUGAAAUCCUGAUACUUCGAAACAGAUUGUCCGUUUUGUACACGAAGUGCAUCCAGUUUUUGCCGUAACCCUCUCUACUUUCUUGCACAUGCUAUGUGGGUGAAAUGAUGAUACCAUGCCAACUUUCAACCUUUUUAGAGUUCAUUUGUAGUGCUUUUCAAUUUCAUGGUCUUAUAGCUCAAAAUAAUCAGUAAAUGCAUGGAAAAUAACAAAUGAAGUCAGAAAUGGUUGAAAAUUGAUGAUGUGGCUUUGAAUGGUGCAUUUUGAACACAGAAAAACUAUGGAGUUCAAAUAAGUUCUAAAAAAUGAAAUCCCUUUGUAACAGACGAGUUUCCGUAUGAAACCUUGAUACUUCGAAAAAGAUUGUUCGUUUUGUACAUGAAGUCCAUCCAGUUUUUGCCGUAACCCUCUCUACUUUCUUGCACAUGCUAUGUGGGUGAAAUGAUGAUACCAUGCCAACUUUCAACCUUUUCAGAGUUCAUUUGUAGUGCUUUUCGAUUUCAGGGUCUUAUAGCUCAAAAUAAUCAGUAAAUGCAUGGAAAAUAACAAAUAUCAUAAAAAAUUAAGUAAUUAGAAACAGAAUAAAAUAAACUUUAAUAAAAUAUAUAAGUAGAAACAAAAUAAAAUAAACUUUAAUAACGUAAAUAAAAUUUAUGAAACUAAAAUUAUCAACGUAUUUUCUGUUCAAAACAUUAUAAGCAACCUCUAGUAUUACAGAAACUAAAAUUAUAUAAAAUAGAUACAACUAAAAUUAUCAAAGUUUUUUCUGUUCAAAAUCAUUAAAAGCAAAAAGAAUUUUCAUAAAGAACUUUUUUUGUUAGAAACUUUAAUAGCAAAAAGAAUUAUCAUAAAAUAAAAUAAAUAAGUAAUUAGAAACAAAAUAAAAUAAAAUAAAUAAGUAUUUUGUUGUAAGUAGAAACAAAAUAAAAUAAAUAAAGCAAAAAAUAAAUAAAUAAACUGGGAAAAAAUAAAAAUAAACGCCACCUACUGGGCCACCACGGCCUGAAUAUGACUAGAAACUCACCCAUGAGCCAGGAUUCAGGCCCGUAGAAGGCCCAAUAGGCCCACAGGCAGAUACAGUGUGUUUACGUUCGAAAGCCUACAUUUGAGAGGAGCUUGAGAGGGCAGCGGGAGUGGGGCUUAUAAACCACUCUCGAGCUCCCUCUGCUAGCGAGGUGGGAGUAAACUUUUGUGCCGCGAUGCGGGCAGCACAAGGCCUUUAGUCCCGGUUGGUGCCACCAACCGGUACUAAAGGCAUACAUUGGUACCGGUUCAUGCCAACAACUGGUACCAAUGCGCACCCUUUAGUCCCGGUUUGUGCCACCAACCGGGACCAAAGGCCUCUGCUUCCCGCCCUUUCGGCUGCUGAAAAGCGACCUUUGGUCCCGGUUGGUGGCUCCAACCGGGACUAAAGGGGUGCUUUGGUCCCGGUUGCUGCCACGAACCGGGACCAAAGGUCUGUCUAUAUAAGCCACACUUGUGAAAUUUUUGGUUCAGUUCUUCUUCCCACUGCCCCGACGCUGUCGCCGCGUGCUUCCCUGCCCCGAUGUCGUCGCCGCGUGCACCCCUGCCACGACGCCGUCGNNNNNNNNNNNNNNNNNNNNNNNNNNNNNNNNNNNNNNNNNNNNNNNNNNNNNNNNNNNNNNNNNNNNNNNNNNNNNNNNNNNNNNNNNNNNNNNNNNNNNNNNNNNNNNNNNNNNNNNNNNNNNNNNNNNNNNNNNNNNNNNNNNNNNNNNNNNNNNNNNNNNNNNNNNNNNNNNNNNNNNNNNNNNNNNNNNNNNNNNNNNNNNNNNNNNNNNNNNNNNNNNNNNNNNNNNNNNNNNNNNNNNNNNNNNNNNNNNNNNNNNNNNNNNNNNNNNNNNNNNNNNNNNNNNNNNNNNNNNNNNNNNNNNNNNNNNNNNNNNNNNNNNNNNNNNNNNNNNNNNNNNNNNNNNNNNNNNNNNNNNNNNNNNNNNNNNNNNNNNNNNNNNNNNNNNNNNNNNNNNNNNNNNNNNNNNNNNNNNNNNNNNNNNNNNNNNNNNNNNNNNNNNNNNNNNNNNNNNNNNNNNNNNNNNNNNNNNNNNNNNNNNNNNNNNNNNNNNNNNNNNNNNNNNNNNNNNNNNNNNNNNNNNNNNNNNNNNNNNNNNNNNNNNNNNNNNNNNNNNNNNNNNNNNNNNNNNNNNNNNNNNNNNNNNNNNNNNNNNNNNNNNNNNNNNNNNNNNNNNNNNNNNNNNNNNNNNNNNNNNNNNNNNNNNNNNNNNNNNNNNNNNNNNNNNNNNNNNNNNNNNNNNNNNNNNNNNNNNNNNNNNNNNNNNNNNNNNNNNNNNNNNNNNNNNNNNNNNNNNNNNNNNNNNNNNNNNNNNNNNNNNNNNNNNNNNNNNNNNNNNNNNNNNNNNNNNNNNNNNNNNNNNNNNNNNNNNNNNNNNNNNNNNNNNNNNNNNNNNNNNNNNNNNNNNNNNNNNNNNNNNNNNNNNNNNNNNNNNNNNNNNNNNNNNNNNNNNNNNNNNNNNNNNNNNNNNNNNNNNNNNNNNNNNNNNNNNNNNNNNNNNNNNNNNNNNNNNNNNNNNNNNNNNNNNNNNNNNNNNNNNNNNNNNNNNNNNNNNNNNNNNNNNNNNNNNNNNNNNNNNNNNNNNNNNNNNNNNNNNNNNNNNNNNNNNNNNNNNNNNNNNNNNNNNNNNNNNNNNNNNNNNNNNNNNNNNNNNNNNNNNNNNNNNNNNNNNNNNNNNNNNNNNNNNNNNNNNNNNNNNNNNNNNNNNNNNNNNNNNNNNNNNNNNNNNNNNNNNNNNNNNNNNNNNNNNNNNNNNNNNNNNNNNNNNNNNNNNNNNNNNNUAUAGAAGUAGUUUAUUUUUAGUAAGUACUACUUUAUUUUAUUUAUAGUAAGUGCUUAAUUAGUAGUUGAACUAGUUGAUUUAAUAAAACUACUUUAUUUUACUAUAGAAGUAGUUUAUUUUUAGCAAGAAAAUUAAUAGAACUAGUUUAUUUUUUUAGUUCAAGCAAUUAUUCACGCAUCGACGUCGACGAUGCCUAUCCCGCAUCCUCGUCGUCGACUCGGCGGAGGAGAUCGGCUUGAUCAGAGGGGCCAUGUCCGGGACUGGGCUCCGCCGGGCUGGUAUUGGGAGGUGCUACCUUCCGAGGGGCGUAGGUUGGUGAGGAGCCAGCCCGUCGUUGACCCGAUCCUUGUUUGGUGGCGGUCGCGUGGGCCAGUGACGGUGCCUAGGCUUCCGGACACCGCGGAGGUGGUACGUCACCGUGUCAGCGAGGAGGACCAGCACGUCUGUCGCUACAUGGUUGCGUUGGAGGGCAGGUUCGACAAUACCAGGCAGGUUCUUCAAGGAUCUCACUGGAGCUAUGAUCCUGUGAUGGUUCCUUCCCUUUGGGUGUCCACCGCCCGCGCCGAUACCCGUCGGGCGCUACGGUUCUAGCUGUACUAGCGAUGAUAUAUAUAUAUAUAUAUGUAUGAUAGUAUUCGAGGUGUAUUAGUGAUAAUAUUCGACGAUGUACGGACGAAAGAGAUGAUGUAGUUUUGCUUAUAAUUGAAUGCAUGCUAAUUUGAAUACUACUUUAUUUUACGAUUUGGUUUUGCUUAUUGAAUCCUCAAAUUGGAAAACUACUCCUACUUUGAAUGCUAAAAUUGGAGAGCACUAUGCAAGGCGUAUGCAUAUGAUUAGUUGAUAGCUUAUAGGGUUUUUAUUGUCGCAGAAAUCUAGGAGCCCCCCUCCAUCAUCCCCGCCGUCGUCCCCGUCACCGACCCCCUCCGGCCUCGAGGUGAGACCAGCCAAAUCCUUUUUUAGAAAGAUAAUUAAACGAUAUUUCGGGUUGACUUUAAGUUUGUCGAGUCUCCACCAUAUAUUAGAGGACGAAUAAUCCCGACUGUUGUCGUGGGGUAGCUUCUCCUUCGUUCCCGUGUGCUAGACAAUUUGGUGUAAUGCACUCGGGAACGAAAGGAGGAGCUACCAUCACCGACGGUCACAAAUGUCAGAGAGGAAUCAGUGAGGGAGAGUUCCACCAUAUAUAUAUAUGAGAGGACGAAGAAUCCCGACUGUUGUCGUGGGGGUCGCUUCUCCUUCGUUCCCGUGUGCUAGACAUUUUGGUGUAAUGCACUCGGGGACAAAUGAAGGAGCGACCAUCACCAACGGUCGAAUGUAUACACCACGUGAGCUGAGAGUUUUCAAGAAAAGACUUGACAAACCGAUAGUCAACCCGUGAUGAAUAAUAAUGAUCUAAUUUAGUUUUUGUAGUACAUAUAUUUGAUUGUACAAGUGUAAUCUUUGAAUUAUGAACGUAGGAAAUGUCGUCCGACGAUGAAAGUCUCCCGGGGGAGUGCGGCUGGUGCCACGACGAUCGAGGUUUGUGCGACAGGCCUCACCUGGACGAUGAUCGGCGCUUCAGCAUUAAGCUCGAGGAGACCUUCGAUGUUGAAACGGUACGCAACGGCGACAAGUGUUUUUUCGUAAUUAAGAAUGACUUCAACUAUUUCAAUGUGUAAUUUUCAUCUUUUACAAUUCGAGUAUAGCUUAUCCCAUGCCAUGCAAGACGCUAUGUCUUGGAGAGGAUGGAUUUUGAAGACCAUGAAAAUUUUGAAACGAAGAAAAUUCACCUAAGGACCCAUCAUGAUGUGGAUUUUGAAGUAAAUUUGUAUAAUGCUGAGAGCGUAACCCAUUUUGGUUGCAAAAAUUGGGAAGCAUUUUGCAAGAUGUAUGGUUUUGAUGAGGGUAUGCUUGUCACCAUGGAUCUUGGUAAUCCUGACAUCGACCAAGACAAUAUGGACAUUUGGGUCCUUGUUGAUACGCCUCCAGUUCUACCGCUAUGUGAGUUUCUCAAACAUAGUUAAUUAUUAACUAAUUUAUAUUAUUUAUUUCAAAAUAGUUGACAGCUUAUUUGCAUUGACAGCUUAUUUUCAUUGUUCAAACAAUGUGUGGAACAUGGUAGACAAAACCCACUACACCGAUGGCUCCGAGUUAACUUAUCAGGAGAAAAAUCAUCUGGUCGGAUUUUGUACUGAUCUUGAGAAUUACAAUAUCUACAAUCAAACUCCUCAACAUUAUGGUCAAUACGUGCCACUAGUACACGUGUUGAACUACAGUAACUACCAUGGAGAUACCCUGGUAAGAUUUUUUACUAUUACGACAUCCGUGCAUCUUCUGCAUACUUCUAAAGCUAGUACAUCAUUGCUAACUAUGAAGUUAUUACUAUGUUUUUCAACAGAGAAUCCCAGAGGACUGUGUGCCUCAUUUGAUGUAUCAGAAUGGCAGCCUUCCUGUUUUGAACAUAUAUCCAGGUCUGUUGGAAAUAUGCCCUAGAGGCAAUAAUAAAUUGGUUAUUAUUAUAUUUCCUUGUUCAUGAUAAUCGUUUAUUAUCCAUGCUAGAAUUGUAUUGAUAGGAAACUCAGAUACAUGUGUGGAUACAUAGACAACACCAUGUCCCUAGUAAGCCUCUAGUUGACUAGCUCGUUGAUCAAUAGAUGGUUAUGGUUUCCUGACCAUGGACAUUGGAUGUCGUUGAUAACGGGAUCACAUCAUUAGGAGAAUGAUGUGAUGGACAAGACCCAAUCCUAAGCCUAGCACAAGAUCGUGUAGUUCGUUUGCUAAGAGCUUUUCUAAUGUCAAGUAUCAUUUCCUUAGACCAUGAGAUUGUGCAACUCCCGGAUACCGUAGGAAUGCUUUGGGUGUACCAAAUGUCACAACGUAACUGGGUGGCUAUAAAGGUGCACUACAGGUAUCUCCGAAAGUGUCUGUUGGGUUGGCACGAAUCGAGACUGGGAUUUGUCACUCCCUGUAAACGGAGAGGUAUCUCUGGGCCCACUCAGUAGGACAUCAUCAUAAUGUGCACAAUGUGACCAAGGAGUUGAUCACGGGAUGAUGUGUUACGGAACGACUAAAGAGACUUGCCGGUAACGAGAUUGAACAAUGUAUCGGGAUACCGACGAUCGAAUCUCGGGCAAGUACCAUACCAAUAGACAAAGGGAAUUGUAUACGGGAUUGAUUGAAUCCUUGACAUGGUGGUUCAUCCGAUGAGAUCAUCGAGGAGCAUGUGGGAGCCAACAUGGGUAUCCAGAUCCCGCUGUUGGUUAUUGACCGGAGAGUCGUCUCGGUCAUGUCUGCAUGUCUCCCGAACCCGUAGGGUCUACACACUUAAGGUUCGGUGACGCUAGGGUUGUAGAGAUAUUAGUAUGCGGUAACCCGAAAGUUUUUCGGAGUCCCGGAUGAGAUCCCGGACGUCACGAGGAGUUCCGGAAUGGUCCGGAGGUAAAGAUUUAUAUAUGGGAAGUCUUGUUUUGGUCGCCGGAAAGGUUUCGCGCAUUAUCGGUAUUGUACCGGGAGUGCCGAAAGGGGUCCGGGGGUCCACCAGCCCCGGGGGGCCACAUGGGCUGUAGGGGUGUGCGCCUUGGCCUAUAUGGGCCAAGGGCACCAGCCCCAAGAGGCCCAUGCGCCAAGAGAUAAGGGAAAGGGAGAGUCCUAAAGGGGGAAGGCACCUCCGAGGUGCCUUGGGGAGGAUGGACUCCUCCCUGGCCGCACCCUUCCUUGGAGGAAGGGCCAAGGCUGCGCCCGCCCUCUCCCUUGGCCCUAUAUAUAGUGGGGGGAGGGAGGGCAGCAACACCUAAGCCCUGGCGCCUCCCUCUCCCUCCCGUGACACAUCUCCCUCCUCCCGCAGCGCUUGGCGAAGCCCUGUUGGAAUCCCGCUACUUCCACCACCACGCCGUCGUGCUGCUGGAUCUCCAUCAACCUCUCCCCCCCCCCUUGCUGGAUCAAGAAGGAGGAGACGUCGCUGCUCCGUACGUGUGUUGAACGCGGAGGUGUCGUCCGUUUGGCGCUAGGAUCAUCGGUGAUUUGGAUCACGACGAGUACGACUCCAUCAACCCCGUUCUCUUGAACGCUUCCGCUCGUGAUCUACAAGCGUAUGUAGAUGCACUCCCCUUUUCCCUCGUUGCUAGAUUACUCCAUAGAUUGAUCUUGGUGAUGCGUAGAAAAUUUUAAAUUUCUGCUACGUUCCCCAACAGUGGUAUCAGAGCUAGGUCUAUGCGUAGUUUCUAUGCACGAGUAGAACACAAAGUAGUUGUGGGUGUCGAUUUUGUCAAUUUACUUGCCGUUAUUAGUCCUAUCUUGAUUCGGCGGCAUCGUGGGAUGAAGCGGCCCGGACCGACCUUACAUGUACACUUACGUGAGACAGGUUCUACCGACUGACAUGCACUAGUUGCAUAAGGUGGCUAGCGGGUGUCUAUCUCUCCCACUUUAGUCGGAUCGGAUUCGAUGAAAAGGGUCCUUAUGAAGGGUAAAUAAAAAUUGGCAUAUCACGUUGUGGCUUUUGCGUAGGUAAGAAACGUUCUUGCUCGAAUCCCAUAGCAGCCACGUAAAACAUGCAACAACAAUUAGAGGACAUCUAACUUGUUUUUGCAGGGUAUGCUAUGUGAUGUGAUAUGGCCAAAAGGAUGUGAUGUAUGAUAUAUGUGAUGUAUGAGAUUGAUCAUGUUCUUGUAAUAGGAAUCACGACUUGCAUGUCGAUGAGUAUGACAACCGGCAGGAGCCAUAGGAGUUGUCUUAAUUUAUUGUAUGACAUGCGUGUCAAUGAAAACGCCAUGUAAUUACUUUACUUUAUUGCUAACCGUUAGCCAUAGUAGUAGAAGUAAUAGUUGGCGAGACAACUUCACGAAGACACAAUGAUGGAGAUCAUGGUGUCAUGCCGGUGACGAAGGUGAUCAUGCCGCGCCUCGAAGAUGGAGAUCAAAGGCGCAGGAUGAUAUUGGCCAUAUCACGUCACUUUAUGAUUUGCAUGUGAUGUUUGUCAUGUUUACAUCUUAUUGGCUUAGAACGACGGUAGCAUAAAUAAGAUGAUCCCUCACUAAAAUUUCAAGAGACGUGUUCCCCCUAACUGUGCACCGUUGCGUAGGUUCGUUGUUUCGAAGCACCACAUGAUGAUCGGGUGUGAUAGAUUCUAACGUUCGAAUACAACGGGUGUUCACGAGCCUAGCAUGUACAGACAUGGCCUCGGAACACAUGCGAAACACUUAGGUUGACUUGACGAGCCUAGCAUGUACAGACAUGGCCUCGGAACACAAGAGAUCGAAAGGUCGAACAUGAGUCGUAUAGUAGAUGCGAUCAACAUGGAGAUGUUCACCGAUGAUGACUAGUCCGUCUCACGUGAUGAUCGGACACGGCCUAGUUUGACUCGGAUCAUGUAUCACUUAGAUGACUAGAGGGAUGUCUAUCUGAGUGGGAGUUCAUUAAAUAAUCAAGAUGAACUUCAUUAUCAUUAACAUAGUCAAAAGGUCUUUGCAAAUUAUGUCAUAGCUUGCGUUUUAGCUCUACUGUUUAAAGAUAUGUUCCUAGAGAAAAUUUAGUUGAAAGUUGGUAGUAGCAAUUAUGCGGAAUGGGUCCGUAAACUGAGGAUUGUCCUUAUUGCUGCACAGAAGGCUUAUGUCCUUAAUGCACCGCUCGGUGUGCUGAACCUCAGCGUCGUCUGUAGAUGUUGCGAGACAUCGGACAUACACGUUUUGAUGACUACGUGAUAGUUCAGUGCGUAAUGCUAACGGUUUAGAAUUGUGGCACCAAAGACGUUUUGAAACGUCGCAGAACAUAUGAGAUGUUCCGAAGACUGAAAUUGGGAUUUCAGACUAGUGCCCACGUCAAGAGGUAUGAGACCUCUGACAAGUUUCUUAAGCCUGCAGACUAAGGGAGAAAAGCUCAAUCGUUGAGCAUGUGCUUAGAUUGUCUGAGUACUACAAUCGCUUGAAUCGAGUGGGAGUUAAUCUUCCAGAUGAGAUAGUGAUGGUUCUCCAUAGUCACUGACACCAAGCUAUUAGAGCUUCGUGAUGAACUAUAACAUAUCAGGGAUAGACAUGAUGAUCCUUGAGCAACUCGCGAUGUUUGACACCGCGAAAGUAGAAAUCAAAUAGGAGCAUCAAUUGUUGAUGGUUAGUAAAACCACUAGUUUCUAGAAGGGCAAGGGCAAAAGGGAUACUUCAUGAAACAGCAAAUCAUUUGCUGCUCUAGUGAAGAAUCCCAAGGUUGAACCCAAACCCGAGACUAAGUGCUUCUGUAAUGAGGGGAACGGUCACUGAAGCAGAACUACCCUAGAUACUUGGUAGAUGAGAAGGCAGGCAAGGUCGACAGAAGUAUAUUGGAUAUACAUUAUAUGAAUGUGUACUUUACUAGUACUCCUAGCAGCACCAGGGUAUUAGAUACCAGUUCGGUUGCUAAGUGUUAGUAACUUGAAAUAAAAGUUGCGGAAUAAAUGGAGACUAGCUAAAGGUGAGAUGACGAUGUGUGUUGGAAGUGUUUCCAAGGUUGAUGUGAUCAAGCAUCGCAUGCUCCCUCUACCAUCGAGAUUGGUGUUUGUGUUGAGCAUAAACAUGAUUGGAUUAUGUUUAUCGCAAUACGGUUAUUCAUUUAAGGAGAAUAAUGGUUACUCUGUUUAUUUGAAUAAUACCUUCAAUGGUCUUGCACCUAAAAUGAAUCUCGAUCGCAGUGAUACACAUGUUCGUGCCAAAAGAUAUAAAAUAGUAAUGAUGGUACCACAUACUUGUGGCACUGCCAUUUGAGUCAUAUUGGUAUAGAACGCAUGAAGAAGCUCCAUGUAGAUGGAUCUUUGGACUUACUCGUUUUUGAAAAGAUUGAGACAUGCGAACCAUGUCUAUUGGUAUAUAUGCAUGAAGAAACUCCAUGCAGAUGGAUCGUUUGGACUCACUUGAUUUUGAAUCACUUGAGACAUGCAAAUCAUACCACAUGGGCAAGAUGACUGAAAGGCCUCGUUUUCAGUAAGAUGGAACAAGAAAGCAACUUGUUGGAAGUAAUACAUUUUGAUGUGUGCAGUCCAAUGAGUGCUGAGGCAUGCAGUGGAUGUCGUUAUGUUCUUGCUUCACAGAUGAUUUGAGUAGAUGCUGAGUAUGUUUGCUUAAUGAAACACAAGUCUGAAUUAUUGAAAGGUUCAAGUGAUUUCAGAGUGAAGUUGAAGAUCGUCGUGACAAGAGGAUAAAAUGUCUAUGAUAUGAUCAUAGAGAUGAAUAUCUGAGUUACAAGUUUGGCACACAAUUAAGACAUUGUGGAAAGUGUUUCACAAUUAAUACCGCCUGGAACACCAUAGUGUGAUGGUGUGUCCGAACAUCAUAACUGCACCCUAUUAGAUAUGGUGCAUACCAUGAUGUCUCUUAUCGAAUUACCACUAUCGUUUAUGGGUUAGGCAUUAGAGACAACCGCAUUCACUUUAAAAGGGGGCACCACGCAAUUCCGUUGAGACGACACCGUUUAGAGAAACCUAAGUUGUCGUUUCUUAAAAGUUUGGGGCUGCGACGCUUAUGUGAAAAAGUUUCAGGCUGAUAAGCUCGAACCCAAAGCGGAUAAAUGCAUCUUCAUAGAAUACCCAAAACAGUUGGGUAUACCUCCUAUUUCAGAUCUGGAAGCAAAAGUAAUUGCUUCUAGAAACGAGUCCUUUCUCGAGGAAAAGUUUCUUUCGAAAGAAUUGAGUGGGAGGAUGGUGGAGACUUGAUAAGGUUAUUGAACCGUCACUUCAACUAGUGUGUAGCAGGGCACAGGAAGUUGUUCCUGUGGCACCUACACCAAUUGAAGUGGAAGCUUAUGAUAGUGAUCAUGAAACUUCGGAUCAAGUCACUACCAAACCUCGUAGGUCGACAAGGAUAUGUACUUCUCCUGUGUGGUACGGUAAUCCUGUCUUAGAUAUCAUGUUGUUAGACAAUACUGAACCUACGAGCUAUGGAGAAGCGAUGGUGGGCCCAUAUUCCGACAAAUGGUUAGAAGCCAUGAAAUCCGAGAUAGGCUCCAUGUAUUAGAACAAAGCAUGGACUUUGGUGAACUUGCCCGAUGAUCGGCAAGCCAUUGAGAUAAAUGGAUCUUUAAGAAGAAGACGGACAUGGACGGUAAUGUUACCGUCUAUGAAGCUCGACUUGUGGCAAAGAGUAUUUUCACAAGUUCAAGGAGUUGACUAUUAUAAGAUUUUCUCAUCCGUAGCGAUUCUUAAGUCCGUCGGAAUCAUGUUAGCAUUAGCUGCAUUUAUGAAAUCUGGCAGAUGGAUGUCAAAACAAGUUUCCUUACCAGUUUUCGUAAGGAAAGGUUGUAUGUGAUACAAUCAGAAAGGUUUUGUCGAUCCUAAGGAUGCUAAAAGGUAUGCUAGCUCCAGCGAUCCUUCCAUGGAUUAGAGCAAGCAUCUCGGAGUCAGAAUAUACGCUUUGAUGGAGUGAUCAAAGUUUUUGGGUUUAUACAAAGUUUGUUAGAAACUUGUAUUUACAAUAAAGUGAGUGGGAGCGCUACAACAUUUCUGAUAAGUAUAUGUGAAUGACAUAUUGUUGAUCCGAAAUGAUGUAAAAUUUCUGGAAAGCAUAAAGGGUUGUUUGAAAGGAGUUUUUCAAAGGAAGACCUGGAUAAAGCUGCUUACAUAUUGGGCAUCAAGAUCUAUAGAGAUAGAUCACGACGCCUGAUGAUACUUUCAAAGAACGCACACCUUGACAUGAUUUUGAAAGAGUUCAAAAUAGAUCAGCAAAGAAGGAGUUCUUGGCUGUGUUACAAGGUGUGAGUAUUGAGUAAGACUCAAGACCUGACCACAGCAGAAGAGAGAGAAAGGACGAAGGUCGUCCCCUAUGCUUUAGACGUAGGCUCUACAGUAUGCUAUGCUGUGUACCGCACAUGAAGUGUGCCUUGCCAUGAGUUGGUCAAGGGGUACAAUAGUGAUCCGGGAAUGGAUCACAUGACAGCGGUCGAACUUAUCCUUAGUAUCUAGUGGACUAAGGAAUUUUCUCGAUUAUGGAGGUGAAAAGGAGUUCGUCGUAAAGGGUUAUGUCGAUGUGAACUUUGACACUAAUCCGGAUAACUCUGAGUAGUAAACCGGAUUCGUAUAGUAGAGCAGUUAUUUGAAAUGGCUCCAAGUAGCGCGUGGUAGCAUCUACAAGAUGACAUAGAUAUUCCUAAAGCACACACGGAUCUAAAAGGUUCAGACCCGUUGACUAAUAACCUCUCUCACAAGCAUAACAUGAUCAAACCAGAACUCAUUGAGUGUUAAUCACAUAGUGAUGUGAACUAGAUUGUUGACUCUAGUAAACUCUUUAGAUGUUGGUCACAUGGUGAUGUGACGUGUGAGUGUUAAUCACAUGGUGAUAUGAACUAGAUUAUUGACUCUAGUGCAAGUGGGAGACUGUUGGAAAUAUGCCCUAGAGGCAAUAUUAAAUUGGUUAUUAUUAUAUUUCCUUGUUCAUGAUAAUCGUUUAUUAUCCAUGCUAGAAUUGUAUUGAUAGGAAACUCAGAUACAUGUGUGGAUACAUAGACAACACCAUGUCCCUAGUAAGCCUCUAGUUGACUAGCUCGUUGAUCAAUAGAUGGUUACGGUUUCCUGACCAUGGACAUUGGAUGUCAUUGAUAACGGGAUCACAUCAUUAGGAGAAUGAUGUGAUGGACAAGACCCAAUCCUAAGCCUAGCACAAGAUCGUGUAGUUCGUUUGCUAAGAGCUUUUCUAAUGUCAAGUAUCAUUUCCUUAGACCAUGAGAUUGUGCAACUCCCGGAUACCGUAGGAAUGCUUUGGGUGUACCAAACGUCACAAUGUAACUGGGUGGCUAUAAAGGUGCACUACAGGUAUCUCCGAAAGUGUCUGUUGGGUUGGCACGAAUCGAGACUGGGAUUUGUCACUCCGUGUAAACGGAGAGGUAUCUCUGGGCCCACUCGGUAGGACAUCAUCAUAAUGUGCACAAUGUGACCAAGGAGUUGAUCACGGGAUGAUGUGUUACGGAACGAGUAAAGAGACUUGCCGGUAACGAGAUUGAACAAGGUAUCGGGAUACCGACGAUCGAAUCUCGGGCAAGUACCAUACCAAUAGACAAAGGGAAUUGUAUACGGGAUUGAUUGAAUCCUCGACAUGGUGGUUCAUCCGAUGAGAUCAUCGAGGAGCAUGUGGGAGCCAACAUGGGUAUCCAGAUCCCGCUGUUGGUUAUUGACCGGAGAGUCGUCUCGGUCAUGUCUGCAUGUCUCCCGAACCCGUAGGGUCUACACACUUAAGGUUCGGUGACGCUAGGGUUGUAGAGAUAUUAGUAUGCGGUAACCUGAAAGUUGUUCGGAGUCCCGGAUGAGAUCCCGGACGUCACGAGGAGUUCCGGAAUGGUCCGGAGGUAAAGAUUUAUAUAUGGGAAGUCUUGUUUUGGUCGCCGGAAAGGUUUCGCGCAUUAUCGGUAUUGUACCGGGAGUGCCGAAAGGGGUCCGGGGGUCCACCAGCCCCGGGGGGGCACAUGGGCUGUAGGGGUGUGCGCCUUGGCCUAUAUGGGCCAAGGGCACCAGCCCCAAGAGGCCCAUGCGCCAAGAGAUAAGGGAAAGGGAGAGUCCUAAAGGGGGAAGGCACCUCCGAGGUGUUGGGAAUCGUAGCAUAAUUUAAAAUUUUCCUACGCUCACUAAGAUGCAUCUAUGGAGUCUACUAGCAACGAGGGGAAAGGAGUGGAUCUACAUACCCUUGUAGAUCGCGAGCGGAAGCGUUCCAAUGAACGUGGAUGACGGAGUCGUACUCGCGGUGAUCCAAAUCACCGAUGACCGAGUGCCGAACGGACGGCACCUCCGCGUUCAACACACGUACGGUGCAGCGACGUCUCCUCCUUUCUUGAUCCAGCAAGGGGGGAGGAGAGGUUGAUGGAGAUCCAACAGCACGACGGCGUGGUGGUGGAUGUAGCGGCUCUCCGGCAGGCCUUCGCCGAGCUUCUGCGCGCGAGAGAGAGGUGUUGCAGGGGAGGAGGGAGGCGCCAAAGGCUGUAGUGUGCUGCCCUCCCUCCCCCCCUUUAUAUAGGCCCCCAAGGGGGGUGCGCAGCCCUUGGAGAUGGGAUCUCCAAGGGGGGGGCGGCGGCCAACGGGGAAGGGGUUGCCUUGCCCCCCAAGGCAAGGGGAAACUCCCCCCCCCCUAGGGUUCCCAACCCUAGGCGCAUGGGGGGGGAGGCCCAAAGUGGCGCCCCAGCCCAUUAGGGGCUGGUUCCCCUCCACUUUCAGCCCACGGGGCCCUCCGGGACAGGUGGCCCCACCCGGUGGACCCCCGGGACCCUUCCGGUGGUCCCGGUACAAUACCGAUAACCCCCGAAACUUUCCCGGUGGCCAAAACUGGACUUCCUAUAUAUAAUUCUUCACCUCCGGACCAUUCCGGAACCUCUCGUGACGUCUGGGAUCUCAUCCGGGACUCCGAACAACUUUCGGGUUUCCGCAUACAUAUAUCUCUACAACCCUAGCGUCACCGGACCUUAAGUGUGUAGACCCUACGGGUUCGGGAGACAUGCAGACAUGACCGAGACGCCUCUCCGGUCAAUAACCAACAGCGGGAUCUGGAUACCCAUGUUGGCUCCCACAUGUUCCACGAUGAUAUCAUCGGGUGAACCACGCUGUCGAGGAUUCAAUCAAUCCGUAUGCAAUUCCCUUUGUCAAUCGGUAUGUUACUUGCCCGAGAUUCGAUCGUCGGUAUCCCAAUACCUUGUUCAAUCUCGUUACCGGCAAGUCUCUUUACUCGUACCGCAAUGCAUGAUCCCGUGACUAACGCCUUAGUCACAUUGAGCUCAUUAUGAUGAUGCAUUACCGAGUGGGCCCAGAGAUACCUCUCCGUUUACACGGAGUGACAAAUCCCAGUCUCGAUCCGUGCCAACCCAACAGACACUUUCGGAGAUACCCGUAAUGCACCUUUAUAGUCACCCAGUUACGUUGUGACGUUUGGCACACCCAAAGCACUCCUACGGUAUCCGGGAGUUGCACGAUCUCAUGGUCUAAGGAAAAGAUACUUGACAUUGGAAAAGCUCUAGCAAACGAAACUACACGAUCUUUUAUGCUAUGCUUAAGUUGGGUCUUGUCCAUCACAUCAUUCUCCUAAUGAUGUGAUCCCGUCAUCAAUGACAUCCUAUGUCCAUAGUCAGGAAACCAUGACUAUCUGUUGAUCAACGAGCUAGUCAACUAGAGGCUUACUAGGGACAGGUUGUGGUCUAUGUAUUCACACAUGUAUUAUGAUUUCCGGACAAUACAAUUAUAGCAUGAAUAAAAGACUAUUAUCAUGAACACAGAAAUAUAAUAAUAACCAUUUAUUAUUGCCUCUAGGGCAUAUUUCCAACAGUCUCCCACUUGCACUAGAGUCAAUAAUCUAGUUACAUUGUGAUGAAUCGAACACCCAUUGCGUCCUGGUGUUGAUCAUGUUUUGCCCUAGGGAGAGGUUUAGUCAACGGAUCUGCUACAUUCAGGUCCGUGUGUACUUUACAAAUAUCUAUGUCUCCAUUUUGAACACUUUCACGAAUGGAGUUGAAGCGACGCUUGAUAUGCCUGGUCUUCCUGUGAAACCUGGGCUCCUUCGCAAGGGCAAUAGCUCCAGUGUUGUCACAGAAGAGAGUCAUUGGGCCCGACGCAUUGGGAAUCACCCCUAGGUCGGUAAUGAACUCCUUCAUCCAGACUGCUUCCUGUGCUGCCUCCGAGGCUGCCAUGUAUUCCGCUUCACAUGUAGAUCCCACCACGACGCUUUGCUUGCAACUGCACCAGCUUACUGCUCCUCUAUUCAAAAUAUACACGUAUCCGGUCUGUGACUUCGAGUCAUCCGGAUCUGUGUCGAAGCUAGCGUCAACGUAACCCUUUACGACGAGCUCUUCGUCACCUCCAUAGACGAGAAACAUAUCCUUAGUCCUCUUCAGGUACUUCAGGAUAUUCUUGACCGCUGUCCAGUGUUCCUUGCCGGGAUUACUUUGGUACCUUCCUACCAAACUUACGGCGAGGUUUACAUCAGGUCUGGUACACAGCAUGGCAUACAUAAUAGACCCUAUGGCCGAGGCAUAGGGGAUGACACUCAUCUCUUCUAUAUCUUCUGCCGUGGUCGGGCAUUGAGCCGUGCUCAAUUGCACACCUUGCAAUACAGGCAAGAACCCCUUCUUGGACUGAUCCAUACUGAACUUCUUCAAUAUCUUGUCAAGGUAUGUACUCUGUGAAAGACCAAUGAGGCGUCUUGAUCUAUCUCUAUAGAUCUUGAUGCCUAAUAUAUAAGCAGCUUCUCCAAGGUCCUUCAUUGAAAAACAUUUAUUCAAAUAGGCCUUUAUACUUUCCAAGAAUUCUAUAUCAUUUCCCAUCAAUAGUAUGUCAUCCACAUAUAAUAUGAGAAAUGCUACAGAGCUCCCACUCACUUUCUUGUAAACACAGGCUUCUCCAUAAGUCUGUGUAAACCCAAACGCCUUGAUCAUCUCAUCAAAGCGAAUGUUCCAACUCCGAGAUGCUUGCACCAGCCCAUAGAUUGAGCGUUGGAGCUUGCAUACUUUGUUAGCAUUCUUAGGGUCGACAAAACCUUCCGGCUGCAUCAUAUACAACUCUUCCUUAAGGAAGCCGUUAAGGAAUGCCGUUUUGACGUCCAUCUGCCAUAUCUCAUAAUCAUAGUAUGCGGCAAUUGCUAACAUGAUUCGGACGGACUUCAGCUUCGCUACGGGUGAGAAAGUCUCAUCGUAGUCAACCCCUUGAACUUGUCGAUAACCCUUAGCGACAAGUCGAGCUUUGUAGAUGGUCACAUUACCAUCUGCGUCCGUCUUCUUCUUAAAGAUCCAUUUGUUUUCUAUGGCUCGCCGCUCAUCGGGCAAGUCAGUCAAAGUCCAUACUUUGUUUUCAUACAUGGAUUCUAUCUCGGAUUUCAUGGCUUCUAGCCAUUUGUCGGAAUCCGGGCCCGCCAUCGCUUCUUCAUAGUUCGAAGGUUCACCGUUGUCUAACAACAUGAUUUCCAGGACAGGGUUGCCGUACCACUCUGGUGCGGAACGUGUCCUUGUGGACCUACGAAGUUCAGUGGCAACUUGAUCCGAAGCUUCAUGAUCAUCAUCAUUAACUUAAUCCCCCGUCGGUGUAGGCACCACAGGAACAUUUUCCCGCGCUGCGCUAUUUUCUGACUCGGAAGGGGUGACUAUCACCUCAUCAAGUUCCACUUUCCUCCCACUCAAUUCUUUCGAGAGAAACUCCUUCUCUAGAAAGGACCCGUUCUUGGCAACGAAGAUCUUGCCUUCGGAUCUGAGGUAGAAGGUGUACCCAAUAGUUUCCUUAGGGUAUCCUAUGAAGACGCAUUUUUCCGAUUUGAGUUCGAGCUUUUCAGGUUGAAGUUUCUUGACAUAAGCAUCGCAUCCCCAAACUUUUAGAAACGACAGCUUAGGUUUCUUCCCAAACCAUAAUUCAUACGGUGUCGUCUCAACGGAUUUAGACGGUGCCCUAUUUAAAGUGAAUGCGGCAGUCUCUAAAGCAUAACCCCAAAAUGAGAGCGGUAAAUUGGUAAGAGACAUCAUAGAUCGCACCAUAUCCAAUAGAGUGCGAUUACGACGUUCGGACACACCAUUUCUCUGAGGUGUUCCAGGCGGCGUGAGUUGUGAAACUAUUCCACAUUUCCUUAAGUGUGUACCAAAUUCGUGACUUAAAUAUUCUCCACCACGAUCUGAUCGUAAGAAUUUUAUUUUCCUGUCACGUUGAUUCUCAACCUCACUCUGAAAUUCCUUGAACUUUUCAAAGGUUUCAGACUUGUGUUUCAUUAGGUAGACAUACCCAUAUCUACUUAAAUCAUCAGUGAGAGUGAGAACAUAACGAUAUCCUCCGCGAGCCUCAACACUCAUUGGACCGCACACAUCGGUAUGUAUGAUUUCCAAUAAGUUGGUUGCUCGCUCCAUUGUUCCGAAGAACGGAGUCUUGGUCAUCUUACCCAUGAGGCAUGGUUCGCACGUGUCAAAUGAUUCGUAAUCAAGAGACUCCAAAAUUCCAUCUGCAUGGAGCUUCUUCAUGCGCUUGACACCAAUGUGACCAAGGCGGCAGUGCCACAAGUAUGUGGGACUAUCGUUAUCAACUUUACAUCUUUUGGUAUUCACACUAUGAACAUGUGUAGCAUCACGUUCGAGAUUCAUCAAGAAUAAACCAUUGACCAGCGGGGCAUGACCAUAAAACAUAUCUCUCAAAUAAAUAGAACAACCAUUAUUCUCAGAUUUAAAUGAGUAGCCAUCUCGAAUUAAACGAGAUCCAGAUACAAUGUUCAUGCUCAAAGCUGGCACUAAAUAACAAUUAUUGAGGUUUAUAACUAAUCCCGUGGGUAGAUGCAGAGGUAGCGUGCCGACGGCGAUCACAUCGACCUUGGAACCAUUCCCGACGCGCAUCGUCACCUCGUCUUUUGCCAGUCUCCGUUUAUUCCGUAGUUCCUGAUUUGAGUUACAAAUAUGAGCAACCGCACCGGUAUCAAAUACCCAGGAGCUACUACGAGUACUGGUAAGGUACACAUCAAUUACUUGUAUAUCACAUAUACCUUGGGUGUUGCCGGCCUUCUUCUUGUCCGCUAAAUAUUUGGGGCCGUUCCGCUUCCAGUGACCACUUCCCUUGCAAUAAAAGCACUCAGUCUCGGGCUUGGGUCCAUUCUUUGACUUCUUCCCGGUAACUGGCUUACCGGGCGCGGCAAUUCCCUUGCCGUCCUUCUUGAAGUUCUUCUUACCCUUGCCCUUCUUGAACUUAGUGGUUUUAUUCACCAUCAACACUUGAUGUUCCUUUUUGAUCUCCCCUUCCGCUGAUUUUAGCAUUGAAUAUACCUCGGGAAUGGUCUUUUCCAUCCCCUGCAUAUUGUAGUUCAUCACAAAGCUCUUGUAGCUUGGUGGAAGCGACUGGAGGAUUCUGUCAAUGACCGCGUCAUCCGGGAGAUUAACUCCCAGCUGAGACAAGCGGUUGUGCAACCCAGACAUUCUGAGUAUGUGCUCACUAACAGAACUGUUCUCCUCCAUUUUACAGCUGAAGAACUUGUCGGAGACAUCAUAUCUCUCGACCCGGGCAUGAGCUUGAAAAACCAGUUUCAGCUCCUCGAACAUCUCGUAUGCUCCAUGUUUCUCAAAACGCUUUUGGAGACCCGGUUCCAAGCUGUAAAGCAUGCCGCACUGAACGAGGGAGUAAUCAUCAGCACGCUGCUGCCAAGCGUUCAUAACGUCUUGGUUCUCAGGGAUUGGUGCUUCACCUAGCGGUGCUUCUAAGACAUAAUCUUUCUUGGCAACUAUGAGGAUGAGCCUCAGGUUCCGGACCCAGUCCGUAUAGUUGCUGCCAUCAUCUUUCAGCUUGGUUUUCUCUAGGAACGCGUUGAAAUUGAGGACAACGUGGGCCAUUUGAUCUACAAUACAUAGUGUAAAGAAUUUUUAGACUAAGUUCAUGAUAAUUAAGUUCAUAUAAUCAAAUUAUUUAAUGAACUCCCACUCAGAUAGACAUCCCUCUAGUUAUCUAAGUGAAACAUGAUCCGAACUCAACUAGGCCGUGUCCGAUCAUCACGUGAGACGGACUAGUCAAGAUCGGUGAACAUCUCCAUGUUGAUCGUAUCUUCUAUACGACUCAUGCUCGACCUUUCGGUCCUCCGUGUUCCGAGGCCAUGUCUGUACAUGCUAGGCUCGUCAAGUCAACCUAAGUGUAUUGCGUGUGUUCCGAGGCCAUGUCUGUACAUGCUAGGCUCGUCAACACCCGUUGUAUGCGAACGUAAGAAUCUAUCACACCCGAUCAUCACGUGGUGCUUCGAAACGACGAACCUUCGCAACGGUGCACAGUUAGGGUGAACACUUUCUUGAAAUUAUUAUAAGGGAUCAUCCUACUUGCUACCGUCGUACUAAGCAAAUAAGAUGCAAAAACAUGAUAAACAUCACAUGCAAUCAAAUAGUGACAUGAUAUGGCCAAUAUCAUCAUGCUCCUUUGAUCUCCAUCUUCGGGGCACCAUGAUCAUCUUCGUCACCGGCAUGACACCAUGAUCUCCAUCAUCAUGAUCUCCAUCAUUGUGUCUUCAUGAAGUUGUCACGCCAAUGAUUACUUCUACUUCUAUGGCUAACCGUUUAGCAACAAAGUAAAGUAAAUUACAUGGCGUUAUUCAAUGACACGCAGGUCAUGCAAAAUAAUAAAGACAACUCCUAUGGCUCCUGCCGGUUGUCAUACUCAUCGACAUGCAAGUCGUGAUUCCUAUUACAAGAAUAUGAUCAAUCUCAUACAUCACAUAUAUCAUUCAUCACAUCUUCUGGCCAUAUCAUAUCACAUAUAUCACUUGCUGCAAAAACAAGUUACACGUCCUCUAAUUGUUGUUGCAAGUUUUUACGUGGUUUGUAGGUUUCUAGCAAGAACGAUUUCUUACCUACGUAUGACCACAACGUGAUUCGCCAAUUUCUAUUUACCCUUCAUAAGGACCCUUUUCAUCGAAUCCGUUCCGACUAAAGUAGGAGAGACAGACACCCGCUAGCCACCUUAUGCAACUAGUGCAUGUCAGUCGGUGGAACCUGUCUCACGUAAGCGUACGUGUAAGGUCGGUCCGGGCCGCUUCAUCCUACAAUGCCGCCGAAACAAGAAACGACUAGUAGCGGCAAGAAGAAUUGGCAACAUCAACGCCCACAACUUCUUUGUGUUCUACUCGUGCAUAGUAACUACGCAUAGGCCUGGCUCAUGAUGCCACUGUUGGGAAUCGUAGCAUAAUUUAAAAUUUUCCUACGCUCACCAAGAUGCAUCUAUGGAGUCUACUAGCAACGAGGGGAAAGGAGUGGAUCUACAUACCCUUGUAGAUCGCGAGCGGAAGCGUUCCAAUGAACGUGGAUGACGGAGUCGUACUCGCCGUGAUCCAAAUCACCGAUGACCGAGUGCCGAACGGACGGCACCUCUGCGUUCAACACACGUACGGUGCAGCGACGUCUCCUCCUUUCUUGAUCCAGCAAGGGGGGAGGAGAGGUUGAUGGAGAUCCAACAGCACGACGGCGUGGUGGUGGAUGUAGCGGCUCUCCGGCAAGGCUUCGCCGAGCUUCUGCGCGCGAGAGAGAGGUGUUGCAGGGGAGGAGGGAGGCGCCAAAGGCUGUCGUGUCCUGCCCUCCCUCCCCCCCUUUAUAUAGGCCCCCAAGGGGGGGUGCGCAGCCCUUGGAGAUGGGAUCUCCAAGGGGGGGGGGCGGCGGCCAAGGGGGAAGGGGUUGCCUUGCCCCCCAAGGCAAGGGGAAACUCCCCCCCUAGGGUUCCCAACCCUAGGCGCAUGGGGGGGAGGCCCAAAGUGGCGCCCCAGCCCAUUAGGGGCUGGUUCCCCUCCACUUUCAGCCCACGGGGCCCUCCGGGACAGGUGGCCCCACCCGGUGGACCCCCGGGACCCUUCCGGUGGUCCCGGUACAAUACCGAUAACCCCCGAAACUUUCCCGGUGGCCAAAACUGGACUUCCUAUAUAUAAUUCUUCACCUCCGGACCAUUCCGGAACCUCUCGUGACGUCCGGGAUCUCAUCCGGGACUCCGAACAACUUUCGGGUUUCCGCAUACAUAUAUCUCUACAACCCUAGCGUCACCGGACCUUAAGUGUGUAGACCCUACGGGUUCGGGAGACAUGCAGACAUGACCGAGACGCCUCUCCUGUCAAUAACCAACAGCGGGAUCUGGAUACCCAUGUUGGCUCCCACAUGUUCCACGAUGAUAUCAUCGGGUGAACCACGGUGUCGAGGAUUCAAUCAAUCCGUAUGCAAUUCCCUUUGUCAAUCGGUAUGUUACUUGCCCGAGAUUCGAUCGUCGGUAUCCCAAUACCUAGUUCAAUCUCGUUACCGGCAAGUCUCUUUACUCGUACCGCAAUGCAUGAUCCCGUGACUAACGCCUUAGUCACAUUGAGCUCAUUAUGAUGAUGCAUUACCGAGUGGGCCCAGAGAUACCUCUCCGUUUACACGGAGUGACGAAUCCCAGUCUCGAUCCGUGCCAACCCAACAGACACUUUCGGAGAUACCCGUAAUGCACCUUUAUAGUCACCCAGUUACGUUGUGACGUUUGGCACACCCAAAGCACUCCUACGGUAUCCGGGAGUUGCACGAUCUCAUGGUCUAAGGAAAAGAUACUUGACAUUGGAAAAGCUCUAGCAAACGAAACUACACGAUCUUUUAUGCUAUGCUUAAGUUGGGUCUUGUCCAUCACAUCAUUCUCCUAAUGAUGUGAUCCCGUUAUCAAUGACAUCCUAUGUCCAUAGUCAGGAAACCAUGACUAUCUGUUGAUCAACGAGCUAGUCAACUAGAGGCUUACUAGGGACAGGUUGUGGUCUAUGUAUUCACACAUGUAUUACGAUUUCCGGACAAUACAAUUAUAGCAUGAAUAAAAGACUAUUAUCAUGAACACAGAAAUAUAAUAAUAACCAUUUAUUAUUGCCUCUAGGGCAUAUUUCCAACACGAGGUGCCUUGGGGAGGAUGGACUCCUCCCUGGCCGCACCCUUCCUUGGAGGAAGGGCCAAGGCUGCGCCCCCCCCCUCCCUUGGCCCUAUAUAUAGUGGGGGGGAGGGAGGGCAGCAACACCUAAGCCCUGGCGCCUCCCUCUCCCUCCCGUGACACAUCUCCCUCCUCCCGCAGCGCUUGGCGAAGCCCUGUUGGAAUCCCGCUACUUCCACCACCACGCCGUCGUGCUGCUGGAUCUCCAUCAACCUCUCCUCCCCCCUUGCUGGAUCAAGAAGGAGGAGACGUCGCUGCUCCGUACGUGUGUUGAACGCGGAGGUGCCGUCCGUUCGGCGCUAGGAUCAUCGGUGAUUUGGAUCACGACGAGUACGACUCCAUCAACCCCGUUCUCUUGAACGCUUCCGCUCGCGAUCUACAAGGGUAUGUAGAUGCACUCCUUUUUUCCCUCAUUGCUAGAUUACUCCAUAGAUUGAUCUUGGUGAUGCGUAGAAAAUUUUGAAUUUCUGCUACGUUCCCCAACAAGGUCAUCCUACGAAUCUCAACUGUCCAUACCGGAUUCCUAAAACAAGUGGAGACAUGCUAAUCAGAGAAUGGAAAAAAUGUAUGGACACUCGUAAGGAGGUUCUUGGAAGCAAAAGGAAGCGCCGCGCAAGAAUUGUAGACAGAAUGAUCUCCAUUCUCCAUAAUGGAGAGUCAGGGUCUAUAUUGUUUUAUGCUAUUUUACCUUAAAUAUGGUAUUUUGGUCCUGCAUAAUACUGAUGAUCAUGUGCUAAGAACAAUUAAGUAGGGUUGGUUCGAUGACUAUCAGGAUGAUGAUCGUAUGACUUGUUAUUAAUAACGAGUAGAAGUUGUAUGAUGAUGAUUAGUAGGACUUGUUAUUAUGAUGAUGCAUGAUGCGAGCAUAAAGAGUUAUUAUAUAUCUGUAGGUGAAAUGAACAUGGAUUGGAUUGAAGUGAAUGCAACAUGCAUGUGGUGCAUGUCGAAAGUAGUACAAUCCAAACUUGAUCAAUUUAGGACUAGUAUUACUUUCGACAUGCACCACAUGUUGCCUCACUUCAAUCUAAGUCAUGUUUAGGCAUAGCAGUAGCAGUACGUAGCACGGAGAUAAGAGAGGACACAUCUCUCUAUUAGCUACCUAUAACAACCUAAAUUAACCCCCAAAACCCCUAAACCACCUCCUUUCAAAAAAAAAACCAGCCCCUGAAAUGCUGACGCGUGGAAGCUUGUUGGUCCCGGUUGGUGCUACCAACCGGGACCAAAGGCAAUCCUGCCUGGGCUUGCCGGAGCGGCCACGUGGAGGCCCAUCUGUCCCGGUUGGUAUAAGAACCGGGACUAAAGGCCUAGGGCAUUAGUAACGACCCUUUAGUCCCGGUUCCCCAACCGGGACAGAUGGGCCUUAUGAACCGGGACAAAUGACCCUUUUUCUACUAGUGGGAGUUUUUGGGCUAUGGGGAUGAGGACGGAUGCGGCGGUGGCGGUGGUGCUUGAGGAAGCCAUGGCGGCGCAGAAAGGAUGUGCUAGAGGAGAUAGGCUCUGAAUACUAUGUAAAAUAGCGUGAAGUGUAUGCCUUAGCAGGGACACGUUGCAUGUUUAUAUAGACAUAGAGAUUACAGGGUUAGUUGUCAGGUAGUUGCUAGAUUGAUCUCCAAGUAAUGAUCUAUACAAGGGAUAUACGAGAUCAUCUACAACAACCCUAACAACCAGAUUACAGACGCAACGCAGCCCUUAUCUACUCGCAUGUACGAUUUAUACAUAUACCGUACAUACUUUACAAUAUACACUCUAACAAAAUAGAGCAAUGCAUCGCGAGGGUGGAAACUGAAGCAAUGCAGUAAAGCUAGCCAUGCAUGGCUCUGGACAGACGAAGACACAGGCAAGACGAGGAGAGCCGAAAUCCAAUCCAUGUUUCCGGUAGGCCGAAUAUUUUAAGCGAGCCACAACCGGACGCACGAACAACUCACAUGACACACAGACAAUAAGAGAGAAUUCCUUAUUUAACACUGUUUUAAAUUUCCUUUUUCUAUUUAACAUCCAUAACCUUUUUCUUUCUUAUCCCACUCCAAGUCUAAAUAUUGUGCCCUUCAUGGCACUCUUGUCCGUUGCUCUGUCUAACACAGUUAAAUUGCAUGUGAAAAGACAUUUUUGCCCCUCAUCUAAUAUGAACCGGCCAUCUGGACAAACCCAGAGAAAGAUCUGACACUCGACCACGUUGGGACUAUUCUGCGGUCCAUGAAGCACGUUUGUUGCGAGGGAGCCUCUCCGUUCUGCGGCGAUCUUGGGCAGCUGCUGCGGAAGCGGCCGGGAUGGGUGGUGCACCGAGCGCCUGUUUCGGCGAAGACCUUCGAGGAGCUUCCUACUGUGUUUUAUUUGUUCAGAGGUGAUUUCUGCAAAAGCGCUGGCCCUGCUGUGUUUCUGGUGUGUUCUGGUCUCAUAUGUGUCAGGUAAUAGAGCAUCUCUAACAGUCCGCUCCAGGGGUGCUAUAUUUCAUCUGUUUUUUUCCUUUACGCCUACUAUGUGAACUACGAUUCGAUACAUAUUUGGUUCCGAUAGUACAAAUAUGGAGAUACUUCGUCAUCACAUAGCCUGCUUCUACGAUAUAAAAUAGUGCGUAGAUAGUUCAUAGUCUUCUCCUACGAUAGAUAGUUCAUAGUUCGUCACAUAGCCUGCUUCUACGAUAUAAAAUAAAACGAAAAAUUACUACUGCUCGUCAUUCUUCGACUCGGACUCUGCCUCGGUGAUGUCCUCCUCGGAUGUCUGAGCGUAGGCGUCAAGGAACCGCUCGUCGCUGGAGUCCCAGGAGGACGCAUCUCCUAGCGCGAUGUUGUAUUUAGCGACCGCCUUCCGCGUUCGCUUGUCCUCACGAUAGGCGGCUCGCUCCUCCCUCCUCUUCAUCCUCUCCGCCCUCCUCUCAGCGAAGAACUGUUUCUCGUUGAUGAUGUCUUGCGGGAAGCGGUGACUCCACAGCGCCAUGGCUUCCUCGUCCAUCUCGGACAGGCUGAGACGACGCUCCCGCCUCCGGUUCUUGCGACGAUCCUCGUCGGUGAUAAGCCACGGGAAAGGCGCCAACUCCUGUGCCCGCUCCCGCGUCGCCACGUCGGGGAAGUUCAUGUCCUGACGGGACCGCCGGAGGCGCCACGCCGCAACAUCGUACGCGCGGGCGCCAUCCUGGGCGGUGUCGAAGGUUCCGAGGCGGAGGCGCAUGCCGCCACCGACCGAAUCUCGGCGGAGUAGGUGCCGGACGGACGCACGCGGACGCCGCAGUAGCCUGAAGCUCCCCGGCGGCGAGGCGGCAUGGUGGCGCGGUGGUGUCGUGUCGGCGGCGAGGAGAGAAAGCGGUAGAGGGAGCGAUGAGAGAGAGGCAGAGGGCGCUGCAAUUUUAUAGGCGCGCCGGACGCGGUGCGCCAAAUCUAGCGCGAGAGUUGCCCCCUUUUCCGGCGCGCGAGUUUUCCGCCACCACUGGAGCGCGCGAAAACGUCCCGUGCACGCUAAAAGAGCCAGUUUACCGCGCGUGCAUGUCUUUUGGCACGGCUGUUGGAGAUGCUCUAACACUGUUUUUCUUCAAUGAAUAUAUGACGUCUGUGCUUAUUUGCUGCUGGUUGAUGUGUGCCACAAUUUGCCACUGCUUGGCACAGUGUGUUUGUAUGUGAGAGAUGUUGCAUACUUGCAUGUCGUGUGGGUUUGGCUUAUUGUUCUUUUUUCCACUGUCAGAUUUAAAUGUUGUGUAUGUGCUCCCGCAAAAAAAAAAUGUUGUGUAUGUGCGCGCGUGUGUAAUGGGCACUGCUAUGGUGCGAGUCAUCCCAAACUAGGCACCAUGCACCAAUGUCUCAAAAAAAAAGGCACCAUGCACCAUCAUCUUGAGCAAAGUAAGUGUGUCACGGGAAGCGCACUUUUGGCUCCGGGCGGCGCGCGCCCCUUGUAUCCUGCCCGUCUGCAUGUGCUUCGAGAUGUGCAGAUAAAGUAGUGUUUUUAUUAGUUAAAAGAGCUGUUAAUCUUUACAUAAAUCAGUAUACAGAGAAAUACGGUCAGUUAAGGCAGCACUACGUCAGACAAAAUAAAUGCGCAGUUAAUCAAAAGCUGCACACUGUUUCCGUCUUCAAGGCACCAUUUAACAUGCCAUUUGAUGCCGCUUAAUCAGUCAACAAGCAAGCUUGCUCGUCGCUUGUCUUACGGGGUUAAUGCCUCGACUAAGGCCCUGUUUGGUUCAUACACUGUUUCCUUCUUUAUUUAGUCUCAAAUGUCUAGUUUAGUCCCUAAAAAGUCCCUUCCGUUUGGUAAAAAAGUCUAGGGACUUUUUCUUGUCCCUACACAAAAAAGUCCCUGGAAACAAACACCCCUAAAUGACCCCAUUCCACUGCAUGCGGCUCAAUCCACUGCAUAUGCCGCCUAAUGCCAUAAUUAGUGAAAAUAUUCCUGCUCAAGAAUGUUUCGGACAUACUACUAUUAGCCGUCUGAUCCUUAAUUAGAGAAAAGCGAAGUGGUUAAUUAUUGGAAGUAUUUCGGCUCAAACAAGUCUUGGUUCAAAAAACAAUAUGAAAUCAUUUUGGAUAUUUAUGUCGUCUGGUCCUUAAUUAGAGCAAAAACAAGAUGAUUGUUUAGUGUUUGCAUACUAUCCGUGUUGUGAAGGACUCACCAUGCAGGAGUUAAUCUGACUAUUAAUCAAGACAGGUUAAUUGAGGCACUAACUAUAUGCGUGGUGGUUGGCUAAAUUCUCACAAUGCAGUUAAUUUGCUCCUGGUCAUGGUGCAGGAGAUUGCAGAGAGUGCAGGAUUCUUUUAAUGAUGACGUGAGGAGGACCCACUUUAAAUGCAAAUACAAGUGAUAUACGAGGAGGCUGUGAGGAUGUGGAUUUUUAGAACACCUGCACCCCGGCCCUAGUAUCCUGUCCAAUAUUACUUUAAGAUCUGUGCAACACAACUAACUUUCCAUAUGAAAUUUUCUCUUUUUUUGUUUCUCUCACAUAAAAGAUAUCUUGAAGUUCAAACCUUUGCAGCGUGGCAAAGCUUUCCAUCUAGAAUCUAGGAUAAAUCUUUCAGAAUUUUUUGUCAAACAUAAAUAUACAAAAAAUUCUGAAAGAUUUAUCCUAGAUUCUAGAUAGAAAGCUUUGCCACGCUGCAAAGGUUUGAACUUCAAAACAUGUUUUAUGUAAGAGAAACAAAAAAGAGAAAUCGAUUUGCAUGAAUCGCGAUGCGAAGAAUGGAUGGCUAGAUAGAGAGGGCCUAGGUGCAGGUGUUCUAUUAUAUAUUUUCCGAGGCUGUGAAAUUCUUGGUGAUACUAGUUAUGGACGGUUGUUGAUGACCACUCAAUAGUGAGAUUGAGGGGGUGGCGUGAGCAGGUUCUCCUUCGUAUUUUCCGUGUGUCACGUGUGUACACUAUGGAGUUGCGCACAUGUACAUAAUCAUUGGAGGCUGAGCUCUCAGCUUGCAUGGAGGGCAUCAACCUCGCUCUGCAAUGGACGGAGAUGCCGAUAGAAGUAGAGACGGACUGCCUUGUCGCUCUUAACAUGAUUAAUGGCCCGGACAGGGACCGGUCUCGCUAUACCAUGUUGGUUGAUCAUAUUCAAAGGCUUUUGAGGGAAGGGAGGAUGUUCAAGCUAUCUCAUGUUCGUAGGAAACAGAAUGGUGCAAGCCAUUAUCUGGCCUCCUUUGAACAGACAGAAGGUCGCACUGUGGUGUGGUUGGGUUUGAGACCAGGAGACAUCCUUGAUAUUUGUAAGAAUGACUUAUGUCCUGAUUGAUGAAAUAAAAUCUUCCUUUCACCCGCAAAAAAGAAUGUCCCUUGCCAUCUGGCCUCCUUUGAACAGACAGAAGGUCGCACUGUGGUGUGGUUGGGUUUGAGACUAGGAGACAUCCCUGAUAUUUGUAAGAAUGACUUAUGUCCUGAUUGAUGAAAUAAAAUCUUCCUUUCACCCGCAAAAAAGAAUGUCCCUUGCCAAAAAAAGAAGAUGGUGUUGCACGCUAGUUAACAACGUAGCCGCCGACCCGGCUGCAAGGUCGGGCGGGCUGGACAUGACUUAUACUUUUUUAAAUUAGCAUCUAUUAAAAUUUUGGUCACAUACCACGUGAUGGGCAAAAAGAUCUUUUCAUAUGUCAUUUAACACCAUUAAGACUUAAAAUAUACGAAAAUGUCAUAAAGGGCAUAAAAUUUAGACUCGGUGUUAUAUAAGAAAGAAAAACAAUCGGUGUCAAAUAGGAAAACAAAAUUUAAGAAAACAUUAAAUAAGGAAUUAUCUCAUUUCUUAAUCUCUCAGUAGGUGCUGACUCUGGAACCGUAGUACUUUCUCUGUUUUAUUCACUUUGCAUAUAAGUUUUUCCUUCUUUUAGUUUGGGCCCUAGCAUUUUUUUUCUUUUGAUUUCUUCCAAUAUUGCCACGUCCACGCAACAAAUGCAUUAAGUACUCUGCAUGUUACAUACAUACUUUCCAUGCUAGCGGCUGGCUGGGGAUUUUAGAGGGUCACAAUUAUACCUGGCCAUGGGCUAGGCCGGGCCGGGCUUGGGCCGGGCCUAAAAAAGCCCACGACAGAAAACUGAGGCCCUCCCAGGCCCUACCAUCGGGCCUACUUUUCAAGCCCAAGCCCGGACCAUCUGGUAAAAAGCCCUUAGGGCUUAGGGCCGUGGGCCGGGCCCCUUCCUUAAAAUGCCAAUAUGCCAAGCCCAAGCCCGUCCAGGCCCUGCUGGUGGGCUCAAAAAUCAGGCCCAAGCCCGGCCCACAGGAAAGCCCAUCGGGCCUAGGCCCUGGAUUUUAGGGUUGGGCCUGGGUGGGCCAACAGGGCCGGGCCGGAGAUGGCCAGGACUAGUCACAAUCCGACAACGAACAGCUCCCACCACGCACAAAGCAAUCUCUUACUCAUUGUCUUGUAGGCUACUGACUCGAGCCCCUCGUUUUUAUUUAGUUUGUGUGCAAGUUUUUUUUCCUUUUUAGUUUGCGUCAAAGCCUUUUUCCCGAUCUCUUUCGAUAUCGUCCCUUGAAUUUCAUCUUUGCACACUACCGAUGCAUUAAAUACCCCUUCCAUUGCAUACUCAACUUCCCCUCUCCUUCCUNNNNNNNNNNNNNNNNNNNNNNNNNNNNNNNNNNNNNNNNNNNNNNNNNNNNNNNNNNNNNNNNNNNNNNNNNNNNNNNNNNNNNNNNNNNNNNNNNNNNNNNNNNNNNNNNNNNNNNNNNNNNNNNNNNNNNNNNNNNNNNNNNNNNNNNNNNNNNNNNNNNNNNNNNNNNNNNNNNNNNNNNNNNNNNNNNNNNNNNNNNNNNNNNNNNNNNNNNNNNNNNNNNNNNNNNNNNNNNNNNNNNNNNNNNNNNNNNNNNNNNNNNNNNNNNNNNNNNNNNNNNNNNNNNNNNNNNNNNNNNNNNNNNNNNNNNNNNNNNNNGCCCCUGCCAGCUUCCUAUCCAUGUGUGGCCGCCGCACAUGGCCCACUGCAUCAUGCUCCAGGUACAUAUAUUUCCCUUUGGUUGUUUUCGGAUUUGUGCUUCGUUCUUUGUAUGUAUAGAUGGGCCCGUCGAUGUAAUUAUGGUGAUGAUGCUAGGUGGUGACGCUGGUGCGUGCGGUCAAACUGACGGCCUGCAUCGUCAAGGGGGAAAGGUGUCAGGGAUGGGAGCCGCGAGGCGCUUGGGACGGAGGAUACCGCUGAAGGACCCUCCCUCGCCAAUCCCUAAUGAAAACUCGGGGGUGGUGAUUCCCUUGCCGCCGCCGCCACCGCUGCCGAUCAAUUGAUAAGUGUUUGGAGUCUGGGUACGAGCAUAUGCCAUGGUGACUUCCGUGCACCUCUGGUCUCUUCCUAAUGUGUUAGAAGAAUAAUCUUGCUGCUGUGAAAUAAGUUGUCAUGCUUCAAAGUCUUAAAAUGUAUUGUUCACUUCUCUAUAUCAAUUUGGACUUCUGAGGUAAAUGGCGGAAAAAUAAAUUUAAUAUAGUCAGAGGCAAGUUGUCUCUAAGAUCAGGUCGACUAGAUAGUAAUAAGUUAAUUAUAGCAUACAUAUAUAAUUUUCCUGUGUGGAACAUUUUUUUUUGGUAAUGAUGAACAUUAAACUAGCGGGCACGUGAUGAUAGCUGACAAUCUGUAAUCAUUGUCCAAGAACCAUCGUACACAGAAAAAUAUUUUCAAACUUUACGCUAUCUUAUAUUAUUUGUAUCGGCUCUAGAAAAAAAAUCAAGGAGAUUGAGAAAACCAUUAAAACAUUAAUCAAAUAAUAGUAAUUUGACGAAUAUGCAAUCCAUUUUACAUCAUGUGUAUAUCUUACCAACGUUUUUGCGUUUAAUAAAAAUGAAAAAAAAAGCUCAAUCUGUGAAGAAGUAAUGGAUCUCAAAGUUGAAGAUAAAAAGAUUGUAGUAAUUAGCAUAUAUUUUUUUCUUCCCUUUUAUUGUGGCGCUUUUAAGAUGCGCUCCCUCCGUAUCAAAAAUAAGCGUCGCUGAUUUAGUACUAGUACAAAUAGAGGGAUUAAUUAAUUGAGGAAGUAAUCAUUUAAUUCCUUAAUUAUGUAAUGUGCAAAGUCCGUAUAUUGAGCUUACAAAGGAAUUAAUUGAUUCUUAUUACCUCCCAAGAGGUUAGACACAUACGAGCCAUUGGAUAGGGCAAAAUUAAUGGCUCAUAUUAACUUGGACCAUCUUUAAAAAAAUCAUUUCAUAAAUGAAAAGAUGCCGCUGCAUGCCUCGCUUACUCACGGGUGCAUCACGAGGGAGCCAGCACAGGAAGAAACGGCUGCGAAUGCUUCGAGGCAAUAUCCAGCGCCCCUGGUCGAGGAUUCAAGUGAAAACACCACACCCGUACGUCGAGCAGCCCACAAUCUCACACCCGCAGGCAGAGAUAGUCACAGUCUCUCAGGGAGCAAACAGUGUCUCAGUGGAGUGCUUCCUAGCUUACUCGAGCUGUGAACCCGUGAUCUCGCCAACUGAAGCCGUCCCUGACUGUGAUCCGCCCACACGGCUUGAUGGGCCGAAGGAUGGCCACCUGGUUGCUCGUCGCCGCCGCCGUCAUCCUGCCCCUGCUGGCGGCCGCCACGCAUCGCCUGCCGCGGCAUGCUCCAGGUACGCACGAUCGAGUGCCAAGAGAUUUCAGUUACGUGUGAAUGGGUGAUUGAUUUGAUUUCGGUAUUGAUGGUGCUAGGUGAUGGCUUCGGCGCGUGGGGUCGACCGGAGGGGCUGCGCCGUGGAGGGACGGUGCUGGGUGUGGGAGCUGCCAGGCGCCUGGGCCAGAGGACGCCGGUGAAGGCGCCUCCCUCGCCGGACCCCAAUCCCGGCAAGGGCACGUCGACGCGUCGGCUGCCCACGCGCCUCCCCUCUCCUCCCUCCAUCAAAGAAUAGUCUUGGACGGUUUCUCAACAGCAUGCAGAAUAAUGAAAACGGCAAUAGAUAACCAUUGCCAAAAUAAACUAUCUUCCCUUUGUUUUGUCAAGCACAUUUCUAAGUCAUCUCAUAACAGUGCAGAGUUUUUCCAAAAGAUCUGGAUCUAAAGCGACAAUCUCCUCUUCCUCCUUAAUUCCGACAGUCAGCACCCAUUUCAUGACACGAGUGUCACAAAAAACUACUCGUGUGAUCUGAUCCAUCCUCUCCCUCUCCCUCUCCCNNNNNNNNNNNNNNNNNNNNNNNNNNNNNNNNNNNNNNNNNNNNNNNNNNNNNNNNNNNNNNNNNNNNNNNNNNNNNNNNNNNNNNNNNNNNNNNNNNNNNNNNNNNNNNNNNNNNNNNNNNNNNNNNNNNNNNNNNNNNNNNNNNNNNNNNNNNNNNNNNNNNNNNNNNNNNNNNNNNNNNNNNNNNNNNNNNNNNNNNNNNNNNNNNNNNNNNNNNNNNNNNNNNNNNNNNNNNNNNNNNNNNNNNNNNNNNNNNNNNNNNNNGUGUUGCGCGAUUUUCUCCAUGCCCGCCCUCUCUCCCGCCUUUUCUGACUUAUGAACCCUCCGACCCCCAAUCCGAUGACUCUUAAACGACUAUGCAUCGGGCGGUUCGUUUUCUCUCGAUACAACCAUCUCUAUCACGCAAUAGGUCCCGACACGCAUUGGGGAAUAAAAUUCUCGUUUGUAAUGACCUCGUGCAUUUUGUAUUAAUUAAUUAGCAACAAACCAAUGUCACAGAACAACAAAUCAAAAGAACGACAACAUUGGCGAUGAAGGAACACAUUGCAAAUCGAUUGUUGUUAGGUUACAAAUCCUCAUUACGCUAUAUUCUCGAUUUUCUUCAGUUUUGUAUUUAGGGUUACAAACACAAAUUAAAGAGUAGUUGGCUUGAUUGUAUUCGUAAUCCAAGAAUCUAACGUAAUUAACAUGUCCCCGUUUGAGAUAGCCAGACAUACCUUUUUUGAGGAAUGCUUCAAAGAGGGGUAGAGUGUACGUAGGGCUUAUUUUAGAAAAAAGAAUCAACUCACUAUAUAGAGAAAACUGCACAUAUUGUACAAACCCAAAGGGCCAUAAAUGCAUCGUUAUUAAAAGAGAAGGUGUAGAACCCCAACAACAUGGAAACACCUAACAAAACUAGGCAACGCGGUCCAACAAAAACCAUGUAGGUGUCCUAGCAUCUCACUAGCUAAUACUCCCUCCGGUCCUCUUUACUUUGCGUCUAAGCUUUUUCCGUUUUUCUCGUAUUAGUCUGUGCGGUGGGAAGCUUUGUCAUUCUUUCCUGUUUUGCCUCUAAUUAUUUGCUUUGCAUGCAACUGUUCGCAUACGUUUGGGAGCCAGAGGCGCACUAUGUGGCCAAUCAGUUUGCAUGCGGGACUGUGCACGGGAGGUUAUGGGUGCAUGCGGCCUGGUAAGCAUGCGUGGACCAUGCGUGGGAGUAAAAUAGGGCUGCAUGUAGUUUGCAUCAGUAAAUAACUACUCCCCCCCUCCUAAAUAUUUGUCUUUUUAGAUAUUUCAACAAGUGACUACAUACGGAGCAAAAUGAGUGAAUCUACCUCUAAAAUAUGUCUACAUACAUCCGUAUGUGAUAGUCCAUUUGAAAUGUUUACAAAAACAAAUAUUUAGGAACGGAGGGAGUAGAUAGGAGGCGCGGCUUGCCGCGCAUUGCCCGCCGAACGGCGGGGCAAGGGACAGGAAAUUGAGAUGUUAAUGGAGAUGACCUUAGCGCCUGUAAACAUACACCAUAACGUUAAUUGUUUAGAGCUAAUAAAGUUUUAAUGUAAAAUGCAUGUAGUUACAUAUAGGAAUUACUCUAUCUGGUAUACAUAGAGAGAUAAUAUGAUCACAAUACAUCGAUUGUGUGACAACAAGUCUGGUGGAGCUACAAAAGUGUGGGAACCUCAGUUCAUGAAGGUUCGAUGUAAAGUAGCAUAGCAGAGGGGUUCCAUGUAGACAUACACAGUAAUUAAUUUAUUUCACGUUCAUAGGGAGUUGAUAUGAUCACAAUACAUACACGGGGCAAGAACAGGUCAUGUGGUGUUAUAAAAGUGGUGGAGCUGAUAUGAUCACAAUACAUACACCGGGCAAGAACAAGUUAUGUGGCGGUACAAAUGUGUCUGAUCCUAAAUCCAUUAAAGUUCGAGGCAGUGCUUUCCUCCAUUCCGUUGUAACGAUGGUGGGAAGCUGGAAAAACAACCGACCGUAUUAACAGCGGUAUGUAAAACUAAAUAAGAUGGUUGAUCAAGCAAAUCAUGCCUACCUGCAAGGCCGUGUGUUUAUUUUUUAUUUGCCAACAAAAGCAAUGUCAAAAUCACAGCUAGAACUAAAUCAAACAAGAAAGAACGGGUCAAAAUAAAGGCCUACCCACAGAUCGACCAUCGCCAACAACAGAUCCGACGCAGCAACGGCAAGAACAAGCGACCUGCAGGCAAUGAGAUCUGAAAUAAAUUAGACACGAACAAUCCAAUUGAAAGAGAGCACACCCGGCGCCAAAGGUUGAAGUGCAGGUCUUCUUUACAAGGCUGAACUGAACAUUUAGAUUUUUUGCUCAAUCAAAUGUACUUUUUAAAAAUCAUUUUGCAUAUGGUUGACUGAGAAACAGUAUACGUUCUUCUCCUCUACUGCAGUUCAGAACAUUAAGAAUGAUGAAACAGAGAGAGAUGAGGAGAGACACACAUACCUGGUAACAGCAGCCUCCUUCGGUGCCUUAUCCAAGGCAACGCGGCCCUCUUCUGCGGCCGCUCGUGACGGGGUCGGUAAUGGAGGAGACGGCCCCGUCCGACAGAGGCAUGGAUCCGCCUCCAAGGAGGCGCAGCCCUCCUUGUGCCUCCUCCAGGACGGCGCGGCUCUGCUUCUGCAUCACAUGACUAUACAUGUGUUCUGCAGGUAUAUGAGGGGCGCAACACACGUAGAUUCAACGCAUUGUCCGUGAAAUUUCUUUUUUGUGGCUGAUAUGCUUUGGCUGUGCUGGGGCAGGUCAAUGGAGACAGAGACGUCCAGGUCGUCGCUGCCUAUGUUGGUGAAGGUGAACUGAUGGGUUGUGCCACCAGUUAUUUCUAUGGCUCGCUCAAGUAUGAACUAUUUGCUAAUGGUGACACAGAUGGGAGAUAGCUCUGAUUCAAGGAGAGGUAAAAUAUCCAUAUCGGUACGCUAUGGGUCAUGAAACUGAGUACCUAACAGGACCAUGAAAUGAGAAAGAGCUGAAAACUAACUAGAGGAAGGCCCUUCACCAGCAGGUCAUCAUGUGUUGGUACCUUGAGAAACGAGGCAGCCAUUGCAGAGGAUUUGUCAUCCAUGGCGGCGCCUGACCUGGGAUGGUAGCUUCAUGGAAGCAAGAGGGGAACCUAUCUGGAAACACUGUAUGCAAGGGGAGGGUCCUUUAGCCCAUGCACUUCUUGUGACUUCCGGUCCGCUUCUGCAUAGGCUGGGAAUCUCUUGUUUUGUACAAUAAGUGGACUGUAAAAGAACUGAAUUGUUGUGGAGUCGGCUCAUGAAAAUAAUAGUGUUGAUAAGUUAAAUGCGAUGGGAAAUGCAAGCGGUGAAUUGCCAACGAUGUUUCUGAUUCAAUAAAACAGUUCAUGGUAGUCAAGACAAGGGAUGUCAUAGUUUAGUAUCAAUGCAACUAUAUACAUAAUUAACCGAGUUAGGACCGACUUUCUAUAAGAUACAAGUAUAAGGAGGAAAUUCAGAUUAUGGAAAACAAAAUUUUAAUUUAUAACCAAACCAUCCUAGAUGGUAGAUGAACCUGGAGCGUCACAUGACAGAAGAUAGUGAAGCGCGUCAAACAAAGGCACGUAGAAUGAACGAAAAGAAAACAUGCUUAUGAUAAUUUAAGGAAUGAUCAGGAAAAGGCCAAUGAGCAUAGGGCACAUAAAGCGAUGAGUACAAAGUACAAACUAUAAAGCAACAUUCAACUCCAAGAGAAAGACAUCAUCUCCAAGCAGGUAAGCAUUCACUAAAGCAUAAGAAAGGGUAGACAUCUCAUGUUCUCCACUAUAGCAGAACAAGUGCUAAGCACUAAGAAGCCAACAGGAGCAAUUUAUUUAGCGACAAAACAUAUAUGUUCCUACACCAUUAGCAAACAUGAAAAAAGAACACAAAUUCUGAGAGGGCAAUACCCUGGAAGUGUAACCAAUAUUUUUUAUGGAGCCCACUGCUAAUCAUACCAGGUGUUCAAAAAAGUGCACAAGUUCAGGAUCGUUAAUGAAUAACGGUCAAAGGGGCAAACUGCAAUGUGAGAAAACCUUCAAUGUCGUUCCGGUAAAGGAACUACAAAUGAAGCAAAAUAUCAUAUUUAUUAAAAGUGCAUAGGUCUCACAAAAAGUUUUUCUUUAACACUACAAAUAAGAACAUUCGCUCAGAAGCAACACAAUGGACAAGCAGACAUAAUAUCCAGUAGAUCUAUCUAGAAAUUUUCUUAUAAGAAAACUAAAUUUUCUUCUCAUGCCAAAUAUUGAAGUGUGGGUCUUCUUCUGAAGGGUUGACUGAACAUUUAUAAUUUUUGCAUAUGGUAGAUUGAGAAGCUUUUUCAAGAAAGUACCUUGCUUGAAGUUAAAUAGGUUCUGAACUAUAGCUAUCCUUGAUCUUUUGGCUAGUCCAUCCAAUAAGCAUCUUGUAGUACAUGUUAGUUGGAAUGGUUAAACCUGUAGAAUAUAAUCUCAAAUAAAUCACACAGUUCAUAAAAUCAAGUUAAAGUUUGACCCAAAAAACACAUACCAGCAGAGAAAUAAAUAGGAAUCUUCAAGUUCAUCCUUUCCCAAAUUAGAAGGAUAUUAGGCCUCUAGGGAUCAACAUCACCUCCACCGCCUCAUGCCAAAUAUUAAUUCAAUCUCUGAAUAAAAGGAAAAAAAACAUAAGUUUUCAGUGGUUAUGAACACCUUACAAUUGCUGUAUAAUUUACAUCAUCUGUACUGCAGUAGAGGAAAAGAACAUCCAAACUAAAGUGUCAUACUAUUUUAUAUGAGGGAAGGCCAAAAUUCUCAAUGUGUAUUUUCCCUAAACUUCUUAACCGGGUAAUUAAAUUUUUUUUAACUGGGCUCAUAUAGUGCACAAGUUCGAAUUGAAUCUUGGUACUACAUCAUACUGGCUGAAAAUAGUGACUGUCAUUUGUAGAUUUGCUUUUUAUUAAUUUGGAAUGACAGUUGUGCCUAUAGCUGACUCAGAUCUUAGUUGACUCCUUAAUUUGAGGAUACUGAAUCCAUUUUUCGAGCACAUGGUACUGUAUUACACAAUGGAUGAAGUUUUCUGCUUGCAGUACAACAGAAACAGAGUAAGGCAACGAAGCAAAAAAUAUAUACAAAAGGCAAAUGAGUAUGAAAUUAAUUUUGUAGUACUAAUCAUCAUUGUUUAUAAGGCGGUAAGGCGACCUAAGGCGAGCACCACCCGCUCUAGUACCCAGGUGAUGCCUAAGCGCCUAAGGCGGGCAUGUUUGUAAGGCGUUGCCAGGGCGCCUUAUAUCGUCUAUAAGCGUCGAAGGCAGGACACCUAAAAAAAAUCGCUAAUCACUAUUUAAAUAUCUAAAUUAUGUCAGAAUUGAAAAUACCAACCGAGAUCACCUCCAGCACAAGGAGCCCAACGCCAAUCACUUUGAUUGUGGUGUAAAUGUACAUUAGUACCAUUUUCCUACCAACCUAAUUUAGCUAGAAACUAAAUCACUAGCUAGAAGCCAGGGUAAAAAUUACUGAAGCAGCAAAUAUGAAACAAGCAAUAAACAGAUGACGAAACCGCUCCGCAAACGAAAGAUGUUGUGAGACAAGGACAGAUGCUCAUAGUAGAUAUGCAGGAAGGCGAAACCGAAAUAGGAUCAACAUGGCCUACGAGAGGGAAAAACAAAGUCAUGACAAAAUAGCUACACACCCGCAAAGAGUAUGAUAACCUUUCAAGGAGCACCAGUUUGAACAAAUGCAUAAAACAAAGGAUGACAACGAUUCACAAAGUGCAGAAAAUGAAAUGGAAAAUAUACGAAAACUACAAAGGCAAAAGGAAUCAUGUCAAAUUUAUAUUAACUAUAAGAUCUAUGAAUAUUGAGUAGAUGCUGCCACCUCGUUAAAGGACAUAGAUCGGUCCUCAUAGGAUCCUGGGUGGAGGCAUGGCAUGGAAGGCCGAACUCUAGUGCACCAACUCUAGGGCACCAUGGGUUGCAUCUGGAAGGGCCAGGGGCAUGAAGCAGGAGCAUGCCAUUAAAUCUGAGCAUAAAAAGUCUAGAUGUCAAAACAGAACUUACUUUUCCAAUCUGCUAUACAUUUGUAAACUCAAGAAUGUUCCAAAAGAAUUAUGGUUCUAACACAAGAAAAGGAGUAGGCCUUAUUGUGUUUUCAGAUAAAUCAAAGCAAUACAUAAUUCCUUAGAUAAUAAAGUGGAACUCCACCAAGACAUGAAGCGGGCAUAAAUCAGAAUUGCAGAUGAUAAAAUACAGAAUGUGCUUGUGUAUUUCAUUUAUAGAGAAAACAAUUCUAGGAAUGCAAUUUUCUAAUGCUAAAAUAACAUUGAUAGCAUAAGAAGCUACAUAUCAAAAUAGCUGGACGAAUUUUAGCCAAGGACGAGAUGCAAAAAUUAGUGAGCACUGGCAGCUAACCAGGCAAUGGAAGGGAGAACCUUAUAUCACCUUGAGUAGGGCUACUUUCAAGAAGAAUGUUGGUUAUUCUGAACUAAGCAAGGUUAACCCUUACACGAAUCAAGAACUGAGAUGACCACAAGAAACCUGGAAAGCCUAAACCUCUCCUUCACAACAAAGCCAUACCAAAAGCACAUCGAUCUACCCGGUCAAGAGCACCAAUUAAACGGUCCACGCUAACUAUCAAGAACACAAAAGCAUGCAGCAGCGUGCCAUAUCAUUUACUACUACAGAACAAUAUCAACAUGAACUUGGAAAAUCAAAUCAACUAUAUCUAUUUUGGCUUUCAUCUCUCACCAGAUCCAUUUACUCAUCUAAGAAUACCAAUCAAAAGGGGCACACUAAAAUAGCAAAGCAUCUCGUGGGGUACUCUUAAUUAUCAUAUGACCUCAAGAAACCUGGCAGGACUAACCCCCUCCUCAACAACAAAGCCAUACAUUAUAAAAAAACCUAGCUAGAUCCAAUGCUUCCUGGACAACAAGGUACCAACACAAGAAGACAACUCCAAAAUUCCCCUUCCUUGGAACCUACCCUAGAGCACUAAACGAAGAAGAAACCACACCCCCUUUACAUAGACCUAGCCAUCCUUCAUGCAAAAAGGAACAAAAUCACCAACAUUCAAUCCACAGAGGAACAUCAAUUGCAGGACCUACCAAGAUGCAGAAAAAGAACAACAGACAUAGAUCUACACUACACACAAACAAGUAAAAAAGUACUUUUGGCCUUUACCACGUCGCUGCCAAACAACAAAAGGCCUCACUGGCCAGCCUACACAUUGACACGCACGACACGAUAUGAUACAUGUAGUGCUAGAACAAAAGAGAAGUGAAAAGUGAAAAGGAGGAGGACAAGGAUUGACCCGCAGAUCCAUGAACAGAGGUGCAGGGGGGUCAGGUCGAAGGAGGCGCCGGUGACAAUGCACGGAUCUGCAAGGAAAACAAGCCACAAAUCAAAGACAAGCAGUAGCCUGUGGCCAAGAACAGGGCAGAAUAGGCACAUACCUACAGAUCGAUGACCAGAGCAGCAGAUCCAGCGGAGCGGCUGGAUUUUGAUGGGACCUGCAAGCAAAUGAGGAAAGGCACAUCAACAGGCAUCACGCCGCAGCGAGGCCAUCACAACACCCAGCCCACGACUCCAGGCGCAGGCAGCCCCAAUGCUCGCCCAGCAAGCACCACAAUACCGAGAUGAAGAACAAGGAGGAGCAGGAUCAUCAAAGAGCGAAAGAAAGGAGAAGAACAAAAGGCAGGGGCUGAUGCGAGGAUAAGGAUCGAACGAGAAGAGCAGCUUCCCAGUGUACCCAUGCUUGGCAGCGACGUGGAAGGCGCCGAGGUCGAGUCAGGAGCGGAGCGUGGCGGCAUCGAGCGGGGGGAGGAGGCGCACGACCUCGAGCGCGUCACCCUUCGCCGCUAGAGCUCGGACUCCCCCGUCUCCUUCUGCGCGGCCACGAGCGCGGCGGUGGAGCCGGAAUCCUCGGCGCAGGCUAGGAGCUCGCGGACGGCGUCGGCAUUCACGGAUCGGACGGCCGCAUAGAGCACCAUUGCAGCUGCUUCGCCACGACUCGAGCAGAAGGGAGGGUCGAUGGUGAUCUUGUGGGGAGGAGGGAGGCACAUAGCAGCGGGAGCGGGAGCCGGAGAGAGCGAUGGCAUAGGAGCGGGAGCGGCGGCGCGAGAAAGGUGCGGGAGAGAGAGAAGUGAGAGGAGACAAGCCCAAACCCUAGCGUCUCUUCCUAUUGGGGACAGAGCAACGAAUCGGGGCGAUCCAAGUGGCGUCGAUCCAUCCGAAAUUCCAUCAUUGCCCCCGGUGGGAGGCCAAAAUUACAGGCGGUGGCACGCAUUUUCUACCGCGUAAGAAGCCCACCGGGCACUCUUCUAACCAUGGCUGCUGACGGGCACGGCCCACAGGUGACCAGACCCCGCAAAUCAGCGACAUAUGGCUAAUACCCACAAGUGAGAAAAAAAAUUACCAAACCAGAAAAAAUGUCACGCGCGAACUGAUGGCACAGAUUAGGACACGUGAGCGUGGCUGAUCGGAUCGGACGGUCAGAAUUCCAAAUGCCCUGAGAAGCCUCAUGUUCCGGCACGAAUCAAGAAUUGAGAUGAGCUGCAGCUUUUUCCAUGCAAAUAGAGGGGCAGACUAGUCCAAAAUCACCCACAAAAUUCUUACCUUGGUAUGCGGGUCAAGAGUUAUACUCAAACUAAAAAGGACCGGAGGGAGUAUCACCUAUUUCCCCGAAACUGCACCCACAGGCCCACAAAGUUGACCUUUACCAGCAUGUACAUGCGUUCCAAUCAUGCUAACAUGUGAAACUAGAUCUUCGUCACCCAGUAGAAUCACUGGUGACCAAAAUGAGUACAAAAUCGGCGCACCUUCGGACCAUACAGCUGAGGAUAUUGCCCCAGGCUUGCACCAUGUGCAAUUAGAAAGUAUGCUGCCUUAUUAUAUUCUCUAGAACAAUGAAUGAUGCAGAAACGAGAAAAAAUAACCAGACAGAGAUUUUUAUUUCCUGGAAGAGGACACCACUGAGCGAUCUAUCAUGGUCAUUAUUACUACUGGCUCGCUUCACUAGGAGGGAGUAUAUUUCGACCAUGGCUGCAAUCAUGCCCCAGCUCUGAGUUGGGGAUUCUGAAUAUGUUGGAUAUGACCCACACAUAUAGCCACGGCCUCCCCGAGCUCGUUUUGUACGACAAACCCCAAGUUGCCAUGCAAGGCAUUAUUCGGAGUGCUUUCCAUCAACAUUGAUCUUCAGUGGGUCCCUUCUAUUGAGAAAUCUUACAAAGAGGCGCAUGGUGUACGUACUAUUUAUUUCCGAAAACAAAAUCAACCCACACUAUAUGUAAAACUGUACCAAAACCCUUAAAUGCAUGGUUAUUAAAAAAGAACGUGUAGAACCCCGAUAGCAUGGAAACACCUAGCAAAAAUAGGCAUGCAUCGCAGUCUAACAACAACUAUGCAGGCAUCCUAGCAUUGCUCGCCAACUGAUAUCAUCUAUGCUCCAUGAAACCACAGCCACGAGCCCACAAAGUUGACCUCUACCACCAUGCACAUCCAUCAAAAUGUGGGUAAGAUGUGAAACUAGCUCUUCGACAACGCCUUCGAGAAUGAAGUUGUACCUAAAUACCUAAUCAGGGUUAGGGUAGAUGUGUGUAUGAUGCUUGGUUGUCUGAUGUUUUGGUAUCAUUGUUUGUGGGCUGGCCAAGGAAAUUACAAUUUACAAGUGCCUAAUUUUGCCUUAGAAUUACUUAUUUAUUAUUUUUAUACAGGUCCUCGAUAUUUGGAAAAUCUUUCAUUCGGAAUCUUAUGACCAGCUUUUGUAGACAUUUAAGGGGUGGUUUUCUAUUCACUUUGAAGCAGCCUACGUCAUCUUCUGAAACCUCACAAUCAUCCUAACCUACACUAGUCAAAAAGCAAGUAGGUCCACGUAUGAUCAAGCUAUGUCGUUGGCCUAAAAGGCGGGUAGCUUGAACUGAGACCUAUUCCACUAGGGUUGGACGAACAACAGCCACUGGCGGGAUACCUUCGGUCCCCUCGCCUUCUUCAGCCAUCUUGGUGGCGAGAGGUGAGAGGACCUCAGAUCGUCAAGAAUCAUAUGGUCUUCGUCAGCAUCUACCGGUGCUCGUUGUAUUUUUGCGAAGAAAAACACAACAUCCUUAUUUGGCGAUGCCAUGGAGCCGAAAAGGUUUGUGUCCUUGCAGAGUUGAUUAUUCAGAUCGACUAAGUUUACUUUAGUGUGCCCUGUUGAUUUUGCUGCUUUGGUUCUUCGUGGAGUUAAAAUCUUUCCUCGACAGUAUGGUGAGGAUCUUGCGGUUCGACGUCCUGCACUUCUAGGGAAUCAUCCCCAACCCAAGUAUGUUCAUCGCUUAUGGUUUCCCAUCUUUUUAGAUGGGCGAGUCAAGGGGCUUUAAGAAACCUUUAUUGAUAACCAAGUUUGUGCGGGUAAACGAGCGGCGUUAUCGUUGUUCCGCUUCAAUCGCAGUCUCUUUACUAAAAGUCUUGGCACUAUUUCAUCUUGCAAAGAUUGACACCAUAUAAAACAGAUUUCAUUGUAAUUCUUAGUUGUACGAGUUACUUCGUAAUUUCUUGUAUCUUGGAUCCAAAACAUUGGACCUGCAAUAUUGCCCAGUGUGAAUGAAAUUACAGGUAUUUCUCAUAAAAACAUGUGCGCAAAUAGCUAUAUGGGGUAAGUGCGUAUUAAAAGAAAAAAGGUUAGUAAUGGAACUUCAAUAAUAUCACAACAUCCACACAUAGAGUGCAAAAACAACACCACAAACGACGUAGAAUAUUCUUUUUCUAAACAUGCAUUUGAUACGGUUGUACCAUGUUAAACAUUUAGUAAAUACAUGAUAACAGUUUUUAAUACAUGAUGAGUAGUUUUUCAUACACUAUGAAUAAACCAUAACAUUUCAAAAAUUUCGAAUAUUCUUUUAAUAAGUCAAGAACAUUUUUUAAUACACGUUAACAUUUUUAAUACACAUGGUGAAUAUAAUUUUAAUACACGAUAAACAUUUUCAUAAUACAUGAUGAACCCUUUCAACACAUGGUGAACAUUUUUUAGAUACUUCAUGAAUAUUGACACAAUGAACAUUUUAAUACAUGGCAAACUUUUUUAUAAUAAAUAUGUAUUUUUUUAGUUGAUGAAUAUUUUUAAGUACGAGAAGAAUAGAUUUAAUUAAGUGGCAACUUUUUUAAUACUUGACGAAUAAUUUUUUUAAACACAAUGGCCAUUUUAUUAAAUAUUAAGCAUUUCUAAUACACAAUGAACAAUUUAAAAGUACAUGGUGGACCUUUUUAGUAAAAUGUAAACAAACCAGUUUUUAGUACACGAUGAACACUAAUUAAUAGACAAGGAUUUUUAAUAUAAAUAAGAACAUUUUAAGUAAAGCAUAAACAUUUUUUAAUACACAAUACGCAAUGAAUGUAUUUUUAAUAUACACCAUAAUUUUCUUGGUUACACUGUUAACAUUUUUAAACACAUGGAAAAACCUUUUUUUUAAAUAUGGCCCAUAUAUUUUAGUAUCUGAUGAAGAAAAAUAACCAGAAGAAAUGAAAAAAGAAAAAUGAAAGAAAUAUAGGAACAAGGAAAAGGAGAACUAAACAAAAAAGAAGAGAGAUAAAAGAUGAGGAAGAAGAAAAGGAACGAAAUAAAAAAGGUAGAGAACCCAAACAAAAAAUAGAUAAAGAACAGACAGAAACACCAAAAAACCAAACCAACCUGGUUCACGGAAAACAUUUAGAAAACAGCGGUAAAUACCCAUUCAGAGAAUAGAUGGUGAAAAGUCAUCAAUUAUUUGCCUGGUUAUCCCUAGGUUUUAGAGAACUUUUUUGCACCACUUUUUGCGUGAAAAAAUAAUGCUUCCAUGAGAAGCACAAAUUUCCUUUUAAAAAAAAUAGAUGUGAAAACUUAUGGACAUUAUUUUAAAAGCAAUGAACAUUUUUUAGUUUCAUGUUUCAUUUUGAAAUUUCCACAUGAACAUUUAUUUCUAAUAUUUUUUUAAAAAUAUGUGAACUUUUUAGAUUUAUGAACAUUUAUAAAACUAGGACAAUGCCCGUGCGUUGCCACGGGGCAAUAAAGACAAAGACACUGAUCAAUAUUGUGUGUCAUCUCCUUCUUCUUAGUAUAUCAUCAUCGCUCUUGUUUUUUGUUUUUGUCCUAAAGCAGUAGAGAAAAACAAAACCUACAUGUGUUGAUAACCCCUCAAAUGUUCUUGUCCUUGCAAUUUGCCUAUAUUAGAACACACCAAUUAUCGGAUUAGAAGAACCGCGCAACUAAUGAGCCAUGGAAAAUUGAUUUGGAGAACAGGGAUCAGGCCGACCUUAACGGAACAUGGACCAAACUGUAGUGUUCUACCUUUCCUGUGGUCCUCCUUGGUUGGUAGUGAUGGUUCUCCCCAAGUCCUUAGUCACUUGCAAGCUGCUGCAUAAUGAAUUUUGUAUCAACAGGUGCAUUUUUUUUUCACUUUUCUGAAUUUACAGGCUAAGUAAACAUUUGCAGGCUGUUUCUAUUUGCAACAACGGUUCCUAUUGCCUAAUGAAAGUUACAAGAAGGGCGUUGUCCACUCAGAACAAUCAUAUUGAAGGUCAAAUUGAGCCUGCAACUAAUAAUAUGAAAUUACUAUUUUUGACAUAGAAAGGGUUGGAUCUGAUAGGAGCAUACCCAUUUGUUUACCGGAAGAACAUAUCGGGUAUGGCCACCAAAAAGAAUAUCAAAAUAGCUAGCAUUUAGUUUAGACAUGACAACUGUUGUGACUUCUAAACUGCUACAACUUCCUUCUAUUUGGUGUCUUGGGUAUGAGUAAGAAAAAUGUUCGGUCUGAAAAGACAUAAGGUAAAUGAGACCAAAAAAUUAUACAUAUAAUGAAAUAAGACUGGAGAAGAAAUAUGUCCUUUAAUCGUAUGCACAGAGGCAUACAGCCAUUUCACUAAACGUGUACUGAUCUGUUCUUCCAAAUUGUCUACAAUGAAUUCAGUACUCAUCUGAAUGACUUUCUUUCUUUGUCUCUGUAGAGAGAAUUCAUAACUCAUAAAUUGGACGUUUGACACCAGCAACGAAAGAGUGGCUCACCAUUCUUCAGCGAUUCCUCCCUAUAUGGAUAUCAUGCGGCGAUGUAGCAGACAUAGUAAGACCCACCUAAUCAACUAUCAGAUCUGGACGCUGCUUCAGAUAUGAUUCCCUUGACAAGAGCCCCAUGGGCUUGCCAUUUGAGUGCUGUGUCAACUAUCAAAACUUCAAAACUAUCAGAUUCGUACAAACAAAAAAGGAUUUCCUGCAAAAAACAGGAUAGGUAGAACAUGAAGCAACUUACACGCAUGAUCUCGAGAGGAUGUUGGCAGAUAGCAUCUUCCCUGCUGCUGCCGCCGCAGCCGACCGGCUCAGUCGCCGAAAGCCGUAACGAUGCCUCCCACCUCGGCCUCCUCCAUUCGGCAAUGACGAUGCGAGGUGGGGCUAACAAGAUGUAGGUUUUUUUGGGGGCAAACUCAGAUUGGGGAACCACAACGAUCAGGAGCAGCGUGUCAUUGGGGAUGAGGGGAAGACGGUGGUGGCGCUGCGAGGACGAAUUGAUGUAAGAUGCUAGGGGAGGACGAACUGAGUGGGAAGGAGAUGAUCGGGGCGUGGCCAGCGGCCGGAUCGACAGCGUAUGGGCCUGACGAGACGACCCGGCGGCGACGGCCAUGGGAGGCCAGGAGGUCUCGCCCACACUAUCCUCGAACCCAUGGGCCAAGUUCCUCCGGACGGCAACGUCCAAUCCCUAGGAUGCCCGAGUCCGUGACCUCAGAACGUUGCCAAUCUCCCCUGCUGCUUGUGAGAUGGAAAGGAGAGGUGGUGGGUUGCGCUCAUCGCGGUGUCGGCGACUCUGGCGGCAGCCAAAUCGGCAGGAGAUAGAAUCAACCCGUGGAUUCAGGAGAUGAGUGAGGGGGGAAUUGAUCAAAGGUUCUAAGAGGAAACAAACUAACGUGGGACAGGAGGCGUUCAGGGGUGCGGGAGCCGGGAGGGCGAACGAAGUGCAACGAGGGUCGGACGAAAGAACGACGCAAUAGGGGAAACGGUACCUUACGUUUCUUUAAUAGUAGUAUAUAGAGAUAGAGAUAGAGGUAGAGAUAGAGAUUCACUUUGAAAUCCAUGGUAAAUUUUGAAUACAUUAUUUUGUUUCAAAUCUAGCAAAGACGCCAACACAAUACGUAUGAUAAAGUUGAGAGACGUGAAGGUCAUUAAGGUGAAGGGAAAUGACAUUCACAUGUUAAUUAGUAAAGAUGACAGCACAAUACGUACUCUAUGUAUGCUUAAUCCACAAUCCUCUUUUUUUUUUACAAACACAUGUAAUUUUAUUCAUACUCAUAACAAUUACAGGUAUACUGAUUUGGAUCGAAAAUCCCAUAAAACAAAAAGUAACUCAUAUGACUAAGAAUUACAAUGAAAUCUCUUGAAAACACCUUCUUCGUAGUAUCAUUCUCUGCUAGAAGAAAUACUUUAAAGACUUCGGUAAAGAGGCUGCAAUUGAACUGGAACAACGAUGUUAUCACUCUUUCACCUGCCUUGAAAAUCGCCUUGAGUCGUUCAUCCAAAAAGAUGAGAAGCCUUCUGUGUCAUGAGGCAUCGGCCGAAGUUAUAUUACAUACAGAGAAAACUCAGCCCGCGCCGCAUGCAUCGGUGUACUAAUAGGUCGAGCUUGUGGAUGGAUCGACAAAUUGUAGUGAUAUGUACUAUGUGCUAUACAAUGGAUGACACUAUGUCUCGCUUAAAGCGAGAGGGCGACUGGAACCAUCACGUAAUGCCAGCGCCAGAUGGGCCAACCCAUCUCGUCUUGUUUUUUUUCUGUUUCUAUCUUCACAUUUUUUGUUUUAAUUUAUAUAUUUAUUUUUUACUUUUGUUUACACUUAUAAAACCUAAAAAUAUAUAUUGCAAAUUAAUAAUAUAGGAAAAAUUCUAAUAACGCAUUUGAAAAUUGUUAAAUAUGUAUAAAACAAUGUUGACAAAAAUAUAAACAAUAUGUGUGAAAAUUUUGAUCACGUAUUUAAAAAAUUAAUCAAUCAUUUGGAAAAAUGUUAAUCAAGUAUUUGAAAUAUGUUUAUAAAGCAUUUGAAAAAAUGUAAAUGUGCAUAGUAACAAUGUUGACCAUAUAUUAAAAAAUGUCAAUCGUUUACAUGAAAAUGUUAAUUAAAUAUUAGGAAAAAAUUAAAUGUGUAUAGAAAAAUGUUGAGCAUGUAUUAAGAAAAUUUUAAUAUUUUACUAAAAAUAUUCAUAAAUCAUUUGAAAAACCUUUAAAAUGUGUAUAGACAUUUUUUUGACCAUGUAUUCAAAAAAUACAUAUCUUGUAUUAAAAAUGAUUAUCUUGUAUUUGAAUAAUGGUAAACGUGUCUUAGAAAAAUGUAUUAUACAUACCAAAAUUUACAAUGUCCAUGGCAAAAGGUAGGCAGAAAAAAUAUUAGUUUUGACAAAAAUGUUACUCAUCUAUGUUAAAGAAUUAAACCUGUAUAUAAAAAUAUUUUUUAUGUUUACAAAAAGUGUUGAAUUUGUAGUAAAAAAGUUAACAUGUGUUGGACAAAAAAGUAAACCAAUGAAAAUCAACAAAACAAAUAGGAAACCUAUGAAAAAAUCAUUUAAAAAACAAAAGAAAAUGAAAACCAAAAAAAGUGCAAAAUGGAAACAGAGAAAACCGAUGAAACCAAUAAAUAAACAAAGAAAAUGACUCAAGAAAGAUAACUUUAAAAACAAUGAAAACAGAGAAAGAAACAAAUAAUAGCAAAGAAAAUGCAAAAAAAGGCGAUGAAAUCCAAAAAAGAUACGAAGAAACCCAAUGAAAAAGAGAAGAAAAAUCGAAUAAAAAAUAAUAGCAAAGAAAAAAUAGUAAUAACCGAGAAGAAGCAAAGAAAAAACAAAGAAAAUACGAUAAAAACUAAACAAAGAAACGAGGACAUAAAAACAAAGAAAGCAAUGCAAAAGAAUGAAAAAAUAGUGAAAAUCCAUAAAUAAAGAAAAAAACAAAGAAGACCAUAAAAACUAGGAAAUGAAGAAAAUAAAAGAAAAAUGAAGAAACUAAGAAAUAAAGAUAAACCAGUAAAAAUCAAGAAAUAAACAAAAAAAGAUAACGAAAAUGAAGAGAAAGAAAAGAAAAGCAUGUAAAACCAUUAGAGAUGCAAAGAAAACCGUUGAAAAAGAAAAACUGUAAGAACUGAAGAAAAAUGACCAAAAACAAAGAGAACCGAAGAAGAAGCGGAAUAAUAAUGAAAACCGAUGAAAGAAACAGGAAAAACCGGAUAAGAAUUAAAGAAACUGAAAGAGAAAUGGGAAAAUGAAAAAAAAAACACAGUAAACCACGUCGAACAACACACAACCAGCUAACGGCCUAGCGCUAAACCAGAGCCUAACCAGUACUGUAUGGUCGUUGAGAAACCUCAAGCAAGAUGGAACGAAGUCUCACUAUAGGCGAGAUAUAGAUAUCGCGCUAUGCAACGAGUGAAUUUGUUUUUAUUUUGAAAGAUCCAACAAUUGCUGGGCUUUGAUUGAUCAUUAGCAGGAAGGAAAAAAUAACAAGGUGUGGUGGAUCCUAGGAUCAAAAGGAAGAAAGUGGAAAAACAACAACGAGGCCGGACAAAGUACAUGUCCAACAUCACUACUAGCAAAACCAUAUCUCUCACGAUGGAUCCCCAAAGGGGUUCUCAAUGCAUUUUGCACGCGUCAGUCAAUCGGCCAAAGCUCGAACUUAUCAAUAAUAACCUUGAUGAUAUCCCUUGAGGAUGGCAGCUUUUUCCAGAAGGUGCAUUUGUUGCGCUCCUACCAAAUUUCACAGCAAGUGAGCACCAACAAAGUUCUUGUCCCUUUCUUGUGUCCUAGCAGAUGCCAGAUACAAGGAGUGAAUUUCCUUUGCGCGUUCGAAAUCCUGGCCAACUUGUUGUACCAUGUAUGUGUGCAUCAAUAUUAUUUGAUCGAUCGUGACCAUUGCAGUGCUGCUAGUAGGUGGCAACGAGGAUCCGUGGGGAAGCCGGGUGCUGCAUGAGAGGCGGGAGCGAUGUGUGGGAGCCGGGAGGCACUUGGGGCAGAGGGCGCCAAUGAAGAAGCCCCCCUCACCCAACCCCAACGGCAUGAACACUAUGGUGAAGCCUGAUUCACCAUCCCCGAUGUUAUUGAUCUACUGGGCAUACAAGUAUGCAGAUUUGAUGCUCACUUGCCUAUUAUUUGCAACAUUGUAUGCAUUCACGUGGGACAUAGCCGCAAAAUAUUUUCUUAGGAUUAUCUCUUUUUUUGGCAAAAAUACUCUUAGAUCUAUUACCCAUAGACUAGCAGUACAAGACAACCUUGACAAAGAAAGAUACUACAACCAGGUCCCUUGGAUGCCUCACUCCUCCAAUCUCUUGGAUACGCUCAUAGUGCAUCGCCGCAGCCGCUCCAUUAGCUUCCCCGGUGCCAGAUUCCAACGAACCUUGUAGUAUAACACGAACAGGAAGUCAUCACUGCCAAACAUCUUGGAGAUGAAGUCGUAGUCACCAAAUCAUAAGCCAAAGAGCUGAGAGCCUCGAUGUUGUCCAAGCUGGCACAGAAGCACCAGAGCAGGGUACACCGCUGCUGCCACCUAGGACGAAAACAAACAGUGCCAACUACCCAAAGCCUGAACAAACUCUCGGAGCUUCCCGGCGACACUGAAGAAGCCAACGCCGUAACGCGGGUGAAGCCCGAAGACUGAACAGUCGAUGGUACUGUCGUCUCCACCACAACAGCAGCACUAUGCCCAACAUCCAGAGAUUGUUUUAUGACGAAGCUGGGGGCGUCGUUGUUGAGGGGGGGGGCAAGGAUCGGGCUUAUUCCAUAUGCACUGAUGCCACUCCCCCACACCGCCACGGGAUAAGCAAGCGCACACCCUAUUUACACACUAGAAAACUAGAUCCGGGGUUCCCCCACCCGCCCACCGCCGGAGAGGCCGGAGAAGGGGAGGAAAACCCACGGUGGCACCGAGGAACUGAGGGAGCCUUUUCUUCGCCCAGAGCCUAAGUUGAACGACUCCAAACCUUUAGCAUUAUCUUUGCAAGUACUCCCUCCGUUCCUAAAUAUAAGUCUUUUUAGACAUUUCAAAUAGAAUACAACAUAUGGAUGUAUAUAGACAUAUUUUAGAAUGUAGAUUCAUUCAUUUUGCUCCGUAUGUAGUCACUUGGUCCAAUCUCUAGAAAGACUUAUAUUUAGGAACGGAGGGAGUACAACGUUGGAGUUGUGUUGUUCUCUGGCAUUUCGUAUGAAAGAUUUUUUUUUCUAGUUUCUCUAUUUUUAGUCACCCCUUCUUUUAGGGGGCGAAAAAUAAGGUUAAUAGUAUAUCAAUUGAUUAAAUGACAAAGUUUAUGGGCCUCUAGCAGGCUAAAUUGCAUUUUGGUCUGACCUAAUCGUGGGCUCGCGGCUUGAUCCACUUCGCCGCGUGAGAGAUGUGAAGGGGAAGGGCUACAUGACAAUUGGCAAAGGGAGUGUCUCACCAGGGUGGAACUGCAAGCAACGUACAUCUAGCCAUGCAUGGUCAACACCCGCGAGACGAGCAGAGCCAAAAUCGUAUCCAUGCUACUGGCUGGCAGAGGAUUUAAGAGCGUCGCUAUCGGACAACGAACAGCUCACAACACACACAAAGCAAUCUCUCUCUCGCUGUCUAUCCCAUGUAGCUACUGACUCGAGCCCCCUUUUUUAUUUGGUUUGCGUGCAAGUUUUUUUUUCCUUUUUAGUUUGCUCCCAACCCUCCCCCCUAUUUAUUCCAAUGCCUCCCCUUGUUUUCGGCUUCACAGGCAACCCAUGUGUUAACUACUCUGACAAUUGUGUAUGCAAUUUCCUCUCUCUUUUCUCUUCGCCUUCCAGAUCUCUCAUCGUACCCAAAUCUUCCCCUCUAGACGCCAUGAUCUACCAACGGAGAGGCACAUGUUUUCUCGUCAUCACCGUCAUGCUCCUCCUCCUACCUCUGAUGGCUUCCUAUCCAUGUGUGGCCACUGCACAUGACCCACUGCGUCAUGCUCCAGGUAUAUCUAUAUGCGCAACUGAGUUCCCUUUGGAUGUUUUUGAAUCCUGGAUUUGUUGUUCAUAUGUAUGUAUGCGUGCGUUAAUGUAAUUACUAUGAUGAUGCUAGGUGGAGACAUUGGUGUGUGGGGUCGUUCAGAUGGGCCACAUCAUGAAGGGGAAAAGGUGUUUGGGAUGGGGGCUGCGAGGCGCUUGGGGCAGAGGAAACCGAUGAAGAACCCUCCCUCGCCUGUCCCCAAUGAAAACAUGGGGGUGGUGUUACCCCUGACACCGCCACCACCGUCGUUGAUCAAUAAACAGGUGUUGGAGGUCCGGGAUACGAGCAUGCCAUGUUGACUUUCGUGCACCUCCUUAUCUGUUGUUGUUGUGUUAUAGGAAUAGUUUCGCUAUUGUGAAAUAAGUUGGCAUGCUUCAAAGUGUUAAAAUAUAUUGUUUGCUUAUGUAUACCAAUUUGGACUUUUGAGAGAAAUGGUGAAAAUAUAAUUUUAUUAUAGUAGGAGUCAAGUGGUCUCAAGCUUAAGACGUGUGGUCGACGAGGUACUAAUAAAUUAGUUGUAGCAUACAUACAUAAAUUUUCUAAGUGGAACUAUUAUUUUGCUAUUGAUGAAAAUUAAAUCAUGUUAAGCUAUUUACAAUAGCACACACCCCAAUGAACUAUUUAUCUAGUUUAGCUAUCUUAGGACUCUAAGCAAAUCCAUAUAAUUUGUGUUUCUUCCUUAAUUCUAUUUUCCUUCCAAUACAUGCAGUAACUGAAGAGGAGAUUGGCCAUACAUAUGACCCACUGCGGAUCUCUAGGGGAAUGUCAUAUUUAUUAGGCGAUAGAGCGAUGUGUGGGCCUCAACGAUAAUUAAUGGACUAAAAUUGGUGUUGUUAAAUAGGAAAUUUAGGAUGCCUUGGUCCUUCCUAUUUGGCCACUUAAAUAAACCCAAAUACUAUAUGAUCAUUUAUUUCUCCGUUUGCACGACAAUGUAUUUCAAUUUUUAUGUUUAGUUAAGGCGUUGUCGUCCAAACAUGCAUUCCAAUGUACCUUGGACGGGUCUAUCAAACAACUAAACAUAACCAUAAUUUGUGCCAAAAGGCGUUGAUGACCAAGUCCAUUCCAAAAAACCACCAACACAUGGUGGACCAAAUGCCAUCAUAGUUCACAAGGGCUUCACGCACUCACGCUGUCACCGGCGGCACCACCAUUGUCAUCGCCACCAUUGCUGCUGCCAGCACAUAUCUUACCAAGAUGUCGCCACGAUUAAACUCCCAAUAUUGCCUUGCCUUCUCGUCCAUCUUCCUAGGAUCCAUCCACAUGGUUGCAUGUUCCUCGCCCACCCUCUUGUUCCUUUGCUUCUCGGCCGCUAAUGCAACUUUUGCUCCUCACUCUCACUCUUUUUCUUUUUCUUCGCGACCUCAAUUUCAAGGCUUGUCACCUCAAGUUCAAGUUUUUCUUUCUUCCGCUAGCACCUUUAUCUCCUCGGCGAUCACCUUUUCCUUCUAUUUUGUCUCCUCCAUCAAUUUCAUAUCAUAGAAACAAGUCAUCUUCUCCUCCUCCCGAUCGGCCACCAAUGCCCUUUUAACAUCCACCAUUGCAAUCAACUCUUCCUUUCCUUGUAAAGAGCUUGAAUGACGGGUUCAUACUCGUUCCAGGGCACUCCACCCGGCGACGCAAGGUUGACUAGCUCAACAUAUUAUUCCCACCAGUUGCAUUGAUCUUAGAUCACACCCCAAUAAGGAGUGAGAAAUCCGAUUGUGUGGUUGGUCACAUUGUUAUUGUAGUACUCCUUGAUCCUUUGAAAAAAUUCUCCUUUGUUUGGUCAGCCCCUAACGUGGCAUCGAGAGAGAUGUUGACCCAAGCUUCACACAAAGCUUUGUAUUCCUCGGUCUUGUACUUGCAAAACCUACUUCUCUUUCUUGUUAGUUUGGGUCUCUCCGACCUCAUCAACAACGUUGGCAUUUCUCGCCAUCUCUUGGGUAUAUGGCAUUGACAUGGUGCUACCUGUGAGCCACGUUGGGAUUUCCCCGAAGAGGAGGGGAUGGAGCAGUACAGUAGAGAUAAGUAUUUUCUUCAGUUAAUAACCAGGGUUAUCAAUCCAGUAGGAUUACCACACAAAACAUUGUUAGCAGCACCUGCACACACAAAAACAAAUACUUGCACCCAACGCAAACAAGGGGGUUGUCAAUCCCCUUGGCGGUUGGUGUCGCUUGAAGCUACGUCAGUAUUUCCCCAAAGAGGAAGGGAUGAUGCAGCACAGCGGCGGUAGGUAUUUCCCACAGUGAAGAAACCAAGGUUAUCAAACCAGUAGGAGAACCCAGCAACACAACGUAAUCAGCACCUGCACACAAAUAACAACACCUCGCAACCCGACGUAAGAGAGGGGUUGUCAAUCCCUCACGGGUAAAAAGAUAGAUAGUUUUGUAGCAAUUUGGAUAAAUAGAUCUCGCGGGAACGCGAGAUAAAACAAUUAAUAACAAAGUGCAGCAAGGUAUUUUUUGUAUUUUUGGUUUAAUAGAUCUGAAAAUAAAUGCCAAGGAAUAGUAAAUCGCAAAGGCAAAUAUGUGAUAAAGAGACCCGGGGGCCGUAGAUUUCGCUAGUGGCUUCUCUCGAGAAAAAUAGCAAACGGUGGGUAAACAAAUUACUCUUGGGAAAUUGAUUGAACUCCAAAUAAUAAUGACGAUAUCCAGGCAAUGAUCAUUAUAUAGGCAUCACGUCCAAGAUUAGUAGACCGACUCCUGCCUGCAUCUACUACUAUUACUCCACACAUCGACCGCUAUCCAGAAUGCAUCUAGUGUAUUAAGUUCAUGGAGAAACGGAGUAAUGGAAUAAGAACGAUGACAUGAUGUAGACAAGAUCUAUCUAUGUAGAGAUAGACCCCAUCGUUUUAUCCUUAGUAGCAAUGAUACAUACGUGUCGUUUCCCUUUCUGUCACUGGGAUCAAGCACCAUAAGAUCGAACCCACUACCGGGCACCUCUUCCCAUUGCAAGACAAAUAGAUCAAGUUGGCCAAACAGAACCCAAAUAUCGGAGAAGAAAUACGAGGCUAUAAGAGAUCAUGCAUAUAAGAGAUCAAAGAAACUCAAAUAACUUUCAUGGAUAUAAAAAGAUAGAUCUGAUCAUAAACUCAAAGUUCACCGAUCCCAACAAACACACCGCAAAAAGAGUUACAUCAUAUGGAUCUCCAAGAGACCAUUGUAUUGAGAAUCAAGAGAGAGAGAUGAAGCCAUCUAGCUACUAACUACGGACCCGAAGGUCUAUAAAAAACUACUCAUGCAUCAUCGGAGAGGCACCAAUGGAGGUGGUGAACCCCAUCCGAGAUGGUGUAUAGAUUGGAUCUGGUGGUUCUGGACUCUGCGGCGGCUGGAUGAAUAUUUUGUCGACUCCCCUAGGGUUUCUGGAAUAUUGGGGUAUUUAUAAAGCAAAGAGGCGGUCCGAGGGGCACCCGAGGUGGGCACAACCCACCAGGGCGCGCCUGGGCCUCCUGGCGCGCCCUAGUGGGUUGUGCCUCCCUCGGGGCACCCCCAGGCGCAGCCAGGGCCCGUUGUGUUCCUUCUGGCCCAUAAAAAUUCUCCGUAAAGUUUCGGGGAAUGUGGACUCCGUCUGAUAUUGAUUUCCUGUGAUGUAAAAAACAUGGAAAAAACAGCAACUGGCACUUGGCACUAUGUCAAUAGGUUAGUACCAAAAAAUGAUAUAAAAUGAUUAUAAAACAUCCAAGAUUGAUAAUAUAGCAGCAUGGAACAAUCAAAAAUAAUAGAUAUGUUGGAGACGUAUCAGCAUCCCGAAGCUUAACUCCUACUCGUCCUCGAGUAGGUAAGUGAUAAAAACACAAUUUUUGAUGUGAAAUGCUGCCUAACAUGUCAUAUCAUAUUCUUUCUCUUUAUAGAAUGGAUAUUUGGAAUUUUAUGUGAUUCAAAGCAAUAGUCUAGUUUUGACAUAAUAAUUUAGAUAUUCAAGCAUAUCAACAAGCAACCAUGUCUUUCAAAAUAUCAACGCUAAAAUAACUUAUCCCUAGCCCAUCGUGCUCAACCAUUGAUCCAUUCAUGAAACACAUUCGCAUAUUAGCUACACCCAAUACUUAAGUAUGAUCAUAUUGCCUCCUAGUUGGUGCUUUUCUAAGAGAGGAUGGAGACUCAAAUUCAAAAAUAAAAAUUGCAUAAAGUAAAAGAAAGGCCCUUCGCAGAGGGAAGUAGGGAUUUGUAGAGGUGCCAGAGCUCAAAGCGAAAAACUUAGAGAUAAAAACAUUUUGGGAGGUGUAUCCAUCCCACCAACGAAAACAACUUAGAGUUCCCAACACUUUCCAUGCUAGAUAUGCCAUAGGAGGUUCCCAAACAGAAAAUAAAGUUUAUUCCAUUUUCUACCAUACUUUCACUUUCCAUGGCUAACCGUAUCCACGGGUGCCCUCCAUACCAACACUUUCCAAGGAAUUUAUUAUUUGACAACAUAAAGUAAUUUUUUUUUCUUUUUCAAUUCGGGACUUGGCAUCCCUAAAACCUUUGCCUUACUCUCGUGCAAUGACAAGUGAACAAACACUCAUCGUGAGAAUAACACAUCCAGCAUGGGAAAUAUUAGCCACCCCUCACCGUUCCGCGAGCGAAACGAACACAAAAAAGAGAAGUUUAUUUUGAAAAUUAGAGAUGGCACAUACAAAUUUGCUUAGAACGGCAAAAGAAUACCGCAUAUAGGGGUAGGUAUAGUGGACUCAUGUGGCAAAAACUGGGUUUAAGGAUUUGGAUGCACAAGUAGAGCUCAUACUUAGUGCAAAAUGAAGGCUAGCAAGAGACUGGGAAGCGACCAACCAAGAAAUGAAUAAUCUCAUAAGCAAGCAUUAAGCAUAAUUAACACCGAAUAAUGCACCACAAGUAGGAUGUAAUUUCAUUGCAUGACUAUUGACUUUCGUGCUUGCAUACGGAAUCACAAACCUUAACACCAAUAUUCUUACUAAAGCAUAAUUACUCAUCAACAUAACUCACAUAUCACAUCAUCAUAUCUCAAAACUACUACUAAGAAUCAAGUUUAUUUUGUUCAAUGAUCUUCAUGAAUGUUUUUAUUAUAUCCUUCUUGGAUAUCAAUCACUUUGGGACUAAUUUUCAUGUGUUGCUUUUGAUAAGCUCAAACAAAUAUAAGUGAAGAUCAUGAGCAUAAUUUUUUCCUUUCUCUCAAAAUAAAUUAAGUGAAGCAAGAGAUAAUUUAUUCAAAAAAAAUUACUAACUCUCAAAUAGAUCUAAGUGAAGCAAGAGAGCAUUUCUUCAAAAAUACUAAAGCACACCGUGCUCAAAAAGAUAUAAGUUAAGCACUAGAGCAAGUCUAUAGCUCAUAAAAAUUUAAGUGAAGCAUAGAGAGCAAUUCUAACAAGUCAUGACAUAAUUUUGGCUCUCUCAAAUAGGUGUGUCCAGCAAGGAUUGAUGACUCAAAACACAAAGGAAAACAAACAAAGACUCAAAUCAUACAAGACGCUCCAAGAAAAACACAUAUCAUGUGACGAAUAAAAAUAUAGCUUUGAGUAAAAUACCGAUGGUUGUUAGAAGAAAGAGGGGAUGCCACUCCGGGGCAUCCCCAAGCAUAGUUGGUUGCUCAUUUUUGGAUAAUAGAUUGGGAUGCCGGGGCAUCCCCAAGCUUAGGCUCUUCUAUCCUUCCUUCAUCCAUUGUAAGAUAACCCAAAACUUGAAAACUUCAAUCACACAAAACUCAACAAAACCUUCGUGAGAUCCGUUAGUAUAAGAAAACAAACCACUACUAUAAGUACUGUGUCAAACCAAUUCAUAUUUUUUGCAUUAUACCUAUUGUAUUCCAACUUUUCUAUGGCAAAAACUCAUCAAAGAAAACCAUAGAGCCAUCAAAAUAAGCACACAACGCAAAGAAAACAGAAUCUGUCAAAACAGAACAGUCUGUAGCAAUCUGAAUUGUUCGAAUACUUCUGUAAUCUACAAAUUCUGAAAAAUUAGGAUGACCUACGAAAAUUGUAUAUCAAUCUUCUGUAAAAAAAUUCAGAUCAAAAUCACAUUUCUAUGAUUUACUAAAAUGGUUUUCGUGAGCGCAUAAGUUCCUGUUUUUUCAGCAAGAUCAAACAACUAUCACCCAACAAGAUCCUAAAGGCUUUACUUGGCACAAACACUAAUUAAAACAAAAAAACACAAUCAUAACAGUAGCAUAAUUGUGUUAACACACAAGAACAGAAAGCAAAAAGCAAAAAUAAAUUUUAUUCAUUGGGUUGCCUCCCAACAAGCGCUAUAGUUUUACGCCCCUAGCUAGGCAUAAGAUUUCAACGAUGCUCACACGAAAGAUAAGAAUUGAAACACAAAGAGAGAAUCAUGAAACAUAUGACAAACACAUUUAAGUCUAACAUACUUCCUAUGCAUAGAAAUUUUAUAAGCAAACAAAUUAUCAAUACAAGAAACAUCUAACAUAUGCAAAGAAGAGGAAUAAAACAUUGACGAUCUCAACAUAACGAGAGGUAAUUUAGUCACAUUAAAGUUCCUACAACCAUAUUUCCCUCUCUCAUAAUAAUUACAUGUAGGAUCAUACUCAAAUUCAACAAUAUAGCUAUCAUAAACAGUAUUCUCUUUAUGAUCCACAUGCAUAAAAAGUUGACACUCUUCCAAAACAGUGGGAUUAUUUUUAGCUAAAGUUGACACUCUUCCAAACCCACUUUUACUAUUGUCGCAAGCAUAUUCAUCACAAGGUUUAAAUAAAUUUUCAAGAUCAUAAGAAUCAUUAUCACCCCAGUCAUGAUCAUUGCAAUAAGUAGUGGACAUAGCAAAACAAGCAUCCCCAAGCUUGGGGUUUGGCAUAUUACUAACACAAUUGACAUUAAUAGAAUUUAUAGUAAAAUCAUUGCAAUCAUGCUUUUCAUUCAAGGAGCUAUCAUGAAUGACUUCAUAAAUUUCUCCAUCACAAUUUUUAGAUUCACGAAUCUCAAGCAAAACUUCAUAAAGAUAAUCUAGUGCACUCAAAUCACUAGCAAUUGGCUCAUCAUAAUUGGAUCUUUUGAAAAGAUUAGCAAGUGGAUGAGGAUCCAUAACAAUAGAUUUUUAGCAAGCAAAUAUGCAGGCAAAUAAAAGGCACAAGGUAACACGAGCAAACAUGAGAUCUGACGAGAAAAAGGCAAACGAAAAAGAAGGCGAAUAAAACGUCAAAUUUUUGGGAAAUGGGGGAGAGGCAAAUGGCAAAUAAUGUAAAUUGCGAAGAGAUGAGAUUUGUGAUUAGUAACCUGGUAUAUGUUGAAGAUCCUCCCCGGCAACGCCACCAGAAAGGCACGUGGCCGGGACACUAUCUUGACAUGAUCUUCCCCGGCAACGGCGCCGGAAAUUCCUUUUGAUGUCGCUUACAUCGGUAUUUCCCCAAAGAGGAAGGGAUGAUGCAGCACAACGGCGGUAGGUAUUCCCCUCAGUGAAGAAACCAAGGUUAUCGAACUAGUAGGAGAACCAAGCAACACAACGUAAUCAGCAGUUGCACACAAAUAACAACACCUCGCAACCCGACGUAAGAGAGGGGUUGUCAAUCCCUCACGGGUAAAAAGAUAGAUAGUUUUGUAGUAAUUUGGAUAAAUACAUCUCGCGGGAACGCGAGAUAAAAUAAUUAAUAAAAAAGUGCAGCAAGGUAUUUUUGUAUUUUUGGUUCAAUAGAUCUAAAAAUAAAUGCAAAGGAAUAUUAGAUCGCAAAGGCAAAUAUGUGAGAAAGAGACCCGGGGGCCGUAGAUUUCACUAGUGGCUUCUCUCGAGAAAAAUAGCAAACGGUGGGUAAACAAAUUACUCUUGGGAAAUUGAUUGAACUCCAAAUAAUAAUGACGAUAUCCAGGCAAUGAUCAUUAUAUAGGCAUCAUGUCCAAGAUUAGUAGACCAACUCCUGCCUAUAUCUACUACUAUUACUCCACACAUCGACCGCUAUCCAGCAUGCAUCUAGUGUAUUAAGUUCAUGGAGAAACGGAGUAAUGCAAUAAGAACGAUGACAUGAUGUAGACAAGAUCUAUCUAUGUAGAGAUAGACCCUAUCGUUUUAUCCUUAGUAGCAAUGAUACAUACGUGUCGUUUCCCUUUCUGUCACUGGGAUCAAGCACCGUAAGAUCGAACCCACUACCGGGCACCUCUUCCCAUUGCAAGACAAAUAGAUCAAGUUGGACAAGCAAAACCCAAAUAUCGGAGAAGAAAUACGAGGCUAUAAGAGAUCAUGCAUAUAAGAGAUCAACGAAACUCAAAUAACUUUCAUGGAUAUAAAAAGAUAGAUCUGAUCAUAAACUCAAAGUUCAUCAGAUCCCAACAAACACACCGCAAAAAGAGUUACAUCAUAUGGAUCUCCAAGAGACCAUUGUAUUGAGAAUCAAGAGAGAGAGAGAGAGAUGAAGCCAUCUAGCUACUAACUAAGGACCCGAAGGUCUACAAAGAACUACUCACGCAUCAUCAGAGAGGCACCAAUGGAGGUGGUGAACCCCAUCCGAGAUGGUGUCUAGAUUGGAUCUGGUGGUUCUGGACUCUGCAGCGGCUGGAUGAAUAUUUCGUUGACUCCCCUAGGGUUUCUGGAAUAUUGGGGUAUUUAUAGAGCAAAGAGGCUGUCCGAGGGCCACCCGAGGUGGGCACAACACACCAGGGCGCGCCUGGGCCUCCUGGCGCGCCCUGGUAGGUUGUGCCUCCCUCGGGGCACCCCCAGGCGCAGCCAGGGCUUGUUGUGUUCCUUCUGGCCCAUAAAAAUUCUCCGUAAAGUUUCGGGACAUUUGGACUCUGUUUGAUAUUGAUUUCCGGCGAUGUAAGAAACAUGGAAAAAACAGUAACAGGCACUUGGCACUAUGUCAAUAGGUUAGUACCAAAAAUGAUAUAAAAUGAUUAUAAAACAUCCAAGAUUAAUAAUAUAACAGCAUGGAACAAUCAAAAAUUAUAGAUACGUUGGAGACGUAUCAGCGGUUAUUUGCAAGGAUCAAAUCUCAUAGUGGUAGGUGAUAAGAUAAAUUGAAAAACAAAAUAAAAUAAAUAAAAGUGCAGCAAGGUGUUUUUUCUGUUUUUUAUAUAUGAUAAAAGUAGACCCGGGGGGGCAUAGUGUUCACUAGAGGCUUAUCUCUCAACCACAUAACAUACGGUGGAUGAACAAAUUACUGUUGGGAAAUUGAUAGAAAAUCACAUAAUUAUGACGAUACUCAAGGCAAUGAUUAUGUAUAUAAGCAUCACGUCCGAGACAAGUAGACCCACUCCUGCCUGCAUCUACUACUAUUACUCCACCCAUUGACCGCUAUCCAGCAUGCAUCUAGGGUAUUAAGUUAAUGAAAAUAGAGUAACAUUUUAAGCAAGAUGACAUGAUGUAGACAAAGUAAACCCAAGCAGUAUGAAUAAACCCCACCUUUUAAUCCUUAAUGGUAACAAUACAAAUACGUGUCAUGUCCCUUUGUGUCACUAGGAUUGAGCACCGCAAGAUUGAACCCAUCACAAAGCACCUCCCCCAUUGCAAGAAAAAUCAAUCUAGUUGGCCAAACUAAACAGAUAUAUUGAAGAGAAAUACAAUGCUAUAAUAAUCAUGCAAAAAAGAAUUCAGAAAAGACUGAGAGUGGUGUUUUUGCUCAUAGGUGUAGAUACACCUAUUAUGAAAUAUAUAUAUAUAUAUAUAUAUAUAUAUAUAUAUAUAUAUAUAUAACACAAUUCAAUUUUAAAAAAAUCGAACAAUAAUUUCGCGUGUACAUCCGAACAUUCUAUGUUCGCACAGAAAUUCGCAAAGAACAAACAUUUUUUGUGGCAUGUAUAAAAAGAUUGAAAAAUGUCUCCUGGAUAGUUAUAAUUAAGCAUCGAAAAUUGUCUUUUUUACACAAGCCACAAAAAUUCCCUUUUUUAGCGAAACUUUGUGCACGGACAUAUAAUGUCCGGAUGUACACGCGGGUUUUUUUCUCAUUUUUUUAAUUUUUAAAAUGUGUAUUUAGACAAAGGGUGCAUCUACAUCUAUGAGCCAAAGUGAAUUUCUCAAAAAGACUUAAUUAAUAUUCAUGAAUAAUCUGAUCUUAAACCUACAAUUCAUCUGAUCCCAACAAAGACACGGCCAAAAAAGAUUACAUUGAAUAGAACUCCAAGUACAUUGUAUUGAAGAUCAAAGAGAGACAAGAAACCAUCUAGAUACUAGAUAUGGACCCAUAGGUCUGUGGUAAACUACUCACGCAUCAACGGGAGGCAGCAAGGAUGAUGUAGAAGCCCUCUGUGAGCGAUCGCCCCUCCGACAGAGUGCCAGGAAAGACCUCCAGAUGGGAUCACAUAAGUACAUAAACUUGUGGCGGCGAAAAAAGUGUCUGGGGUGGCUCUCUUUUGGUUUCCCGAUUUUAGAGAAUUUAUAGAGGUGAAAUUAGGUCAUUCGGAGCCACGUGGGGCCCACAAGGCAUCAGGGCGCGCCUACCCCUGGACACGCCCUUUUGCCUUGUCGUCUCCUCGCUUCUCGUCUGGUCUCCUCCCAAAACUUCUAGGGUCUCUCUUGUCUAGAAAAAAUUCGCCAAAAAGUUUCAUAGCGUUUGGACUCCGUUUGAUACUGGUUUACUCGGAAACCAAAAACAAGCAGAAAACAACAACUGGAACUUGGCACUGGGUUAAUAGGUUAGUCCCAGAAAAUGAUAUAAAAUAGAAUGAAAAGUUAUAUAAAACAUCCAAGAUUGAUACUAUAAUAUCAUGGAACAAUAAAAAAUUAUAUAUACGUUGGAGACGUAUCACAUGGCAAUCUCAUCAGGACUGAGUCUGUGGCAUAUAUUCAAUUCAUUCAUGAAAGUGGUUGAAUCAUCAUUCAAUUGCUUAGAGAAUCUAGUGUAGGAGUUGCCUAAUCCGGGCCCAUAUACAUUCACAGCCGCGCCCGGGAGCACCCGCAGACAUUGACCGGGCAUGCAUUAAAAGUACACCUCCACAACCGGAUCCAUCAAACCAAAUCCUCAAAUCCAUACUAGUCGCAUGCAACGUUAAACAUACGUAGUUGCACACAAGUCAUCAAACUACCAACUUUUGACACGUUCUACUUAACUAUGAUUCAUGCAUGGUCUCCCUUGCCCUUGCCGUAUUCCUUGCGGAAGUAACGGUCGAAUAUGCAAAACGAAUCGAGGCGAAUCUGCUCACUGCUUGAGUUGUCCGAUCCGUCGUCAUCCUCGUCCUUCUCCUCCUUAGGAGGUAGUCCGACCAUGGCACGGACCGCCCUGCUUUGCUCUUUUUCCAUUACAUGGAUCAUACUCCUUCGCUACUUCUUGGUGAUGCAGGCAUGGAGGGCUUCCUCCUCGAUGCCCAUGCCGGUGUGUGAUUCCACUGGCUCCGCCUCGCGGCCUUUGCUUCAAGGCGUGCCCAUAGCCUUCUGCGGCAGGCACGCCAUGCCUCCUUCUCGUUUCGUCCCCAAACCAUGGAGGCGGAUAUGGCCUCCAUUUUGGCAGUUGACGACGUGGGCCACCUAAACAGUUCCACAAGCACAAUGGGGUUGCUUUGCCAUGCGGUGGUGGUCACCUCUUCCUGCGAGGCCGCGGCCACAUGUAGUGAUCCACCUGCCCCGACGGAUCCUAGCGCCAUAUAAGAAGAGGCAAUGGAUUCCCACUGGAUCGAUGAAGACCACGGGUGGGUGCACUCCUCCGGAGAGCGUUAGAGAGCAGUGCAGAUGGCCAUCUGCUCCUCGUGACUGCAAGGGAUGAGGUUCCAGUCCUCGGAUCUGGACAUCUCGGAGUCAGAUCUAGUGCCCACCAUGAAGGAGUACAUCGAAGUUCACCAGAGUGAAGUUUGGGCACUGUGGGAGGAGAGUGGAGUGCAACUAGGGUUUCACCCUAAGUUUGGAUAGGAUUGAAUAUAUGUGGGGUUGGGUGGGCCACUAUGGGUCAGAUCUGAUGUGGCGGGCGCGUUCGGGCAUCCUCAUAUCUGCCCUAGAUAUGGUUGGGGUAUGGGGAGUGUCGGUCAGUCUGGGCAUUUCGGUUGGAUUUACUAGGUCCGGUUGGGUGGAAAUUUUGCAUCCAGGCAGUGACGAGGAGGCCUCCCGGGCAUUUGGGGCAGAUAUGGGGCGCCCAGUUGUAGAUUCUCUUACUAAAAAAGCAAAGAAAGGACCUAGCAACAAAUAUCACAUCAUGCACCUUUCUCUUAAGCAAUUGCAAUCCCAAAUCAAAAAUGACCUUUCGGGCAUAUCCUCGAGCAUGUCAGCCUCACUCCUUGUCCCGUCCAAGUUAGGGUUGUCGACGGCUGCCAGAGGUGGAGGGGGUGGGGACGGGGUUGUAGGAGGCGGUGCAAUAGUCGUCGGCACCACGGGAUCACGAAGGGGGAAGUGUCGGGGCGGUUGAACCCUUAUUCUCUUUCUUCUUCUUAUUUCUCGUAGUGUUGUGCCGCCUUGGCUAACGGUCGAUGGUCCUGUUCACUCGGCUAGGGCAAAGGCGGUCGGAAGGUCACAGUGGAGCAAGUGGCGGCAGCCGCCGAUGAUGAACCAUUCUCAAUGACGGUCUUGCCUUGGCGUUGUUGUUUCGUUGGUUGCACUGCCGAAUUUAUGGUUGGCGGUGGGUCUCUGCCACUGGUGAGGUUAGCCGGGUGUGCGAUAGGGGCAUGCUUUCCAUUCCAUCGGUUAUCCAAGUCGGGGACGACAACCAGUGGGGUGAGGUGCGGCGGUGUCAUGGUUUAGCAUGAAAAUUGCGGGCAAGUGGGAGGCAAUAGGGCUUAUCAUGACUAGACUGAAUAUGAACUAGUGUGGGAUGGUUUUGAAAAAAAAUGGGAAAAAGUUAUACAAGGAAUCUCCUACAUAAUUCUUGAGGAGCUUGCUGGUUGGGAAACGUUACGUUUGUAAGCAACAUUACCGAACAAUGUUUAACCCACGUUCCACCAGUUCUUGUAAGCAACAUUACCGAACAAUCUUUAACCCACGUUCCACCAGUUCCUGACCGAUUUUUUCCUUUUUUUCCUUUCUCAUCGUCCGGUUUUAUUUCUCCUUUCCCGCGCGGUCGAUUUUUUUGAAGUGGGUGCUAAAUAGGGUAAAAUACAGAGUACAAAAAGAGCUGAGUUACAUGGGAUUCAAACCCAUGACCAGAGGCUAGGUAUAUGGCAAACUAGGCCGUAGAAAGCACCUCAACUGGUCUUGCUUAUUGUACAAAUAUCAUACUAUUUAAACUUUCUUCUUUCCCUCGACAAAAAUUGAACCUUCUUUACUUGUGUUGAACAUUCUUUCAUUAUGUAGCAACACCACACCAAGUUAAGUGCGAAUCCACGCAUAUAAGACGGUAAAGUGAUAUCAUCAAAUAUUUCAUCAAAACUGAAAAUUCAAAAUAUUUUUUAGCUCAAACCGUCGGUCCGAUUCAAAAUCCAUUUUCACAUAAAAAAUAGUCGCGAUGAGACUUUCGAAAUUAGAUGUCAUACAUUCCGAGAACUUUUUUCAGUUCAAAAAUUACCACGUUGAAAGGGAAUUUCUUGACUUAAGUGUUUUGAUUUUGAUGACAACGCAAUUUAUGGACUAACCGUGUGCUUAAGUUACAUAGGCAUAUGUAAAUGGCACAAGAUGGUUGGGCACCCUCUGGAUGGAAAAGAGCGGAGACAACAUUUUCGACGCUUUUAUUUCUUUGGUCGUAGAAAAUCCAUACUAUUAAGAGCAACUCUAGCAGACCCCGCCUUUUGUCGACCUGUAAACUGUGUUUGCAGGUCGCACGGGGCCGGUUAUGCAGGCCGAAAUUUGCGGCGGCAGACUAGAAACCGCAAACAAACCCCUAAUUUUUAAAAUAAGUUGUUUCACAUGAGAAAUUUAAGCAGCAGCUCGUCGGAGCUCGCUCGCAUAGAUGGUUCUUCUUCGCAUAAUAAGUUCGUACACGCCAUAUACAUACAUAAAGGUCAGAGAUGCUAGACAGGGCCUACGCUACCACACCACUACAACAAAAUUGAGCUCACCGGAGCUCCUGCGGUAGCUGCCCACCGGCGGCGAUCAGUUGGAGUCGGAGUCGACCUCGAUGUAGAGCUUCGCCUGCUCCGCCUUCAUCACGCGCAGGUCAGCCUCCUUCGAUGCGUGCGCCUGCGAUGCCGUGAGGCCCGUCUCGAGGAAGAGCCGCUCGUACUCGAGCUCGCGCUGUAUGCGCUCUUCCAUCUCCUCCGGAUCCCUCGCCGACCGCUCGAGGACGACGCGCUCGAGGAGCUCCUCCUGCCCCGGUGGGAGGGAGUCCUCGGGUCCGAUGACGCCUCGGCGCGGCGGCGCAUCGGGCACGGCCUCCUCCGGCUCCCACUUCACCGGAACGAGCCGGGAGCUUGAUGCGCCCGCGGAUGAGCACCCCGCGGAACCGUGGAUGGAUGAGCUCCCUGCGGACCAGUUGCCGGAGGAGGCGCGGCGGCGACGGGCGCGCUCGAGUUCGAACUCGUCGAGCUCGCGUCGGUUGAAUGCCGGUGGCGGCCGGGCACCGUGGUUGAGCCACUGACGCGCCCCCCGCUUGCGCGCGGCGACAGAUCUGGCGCGGCGGCGGCGCUCCGCCUCAUCCCCCGAGUCGGCCAUGGUGGUUCAGGGCUCGCCUCCGGCGAGAAAUCGAGCGGCGCGGUGGGGAAUUGGAGGGGAACGCGGCUGCGGGGGGAUAGGGUUUCGACCCGCAUCUGCCCCGCAAACCCGUAGUUAUAGUGACUCGGGGGUUGCGUUUACGGGCUGCGGCAAAAAUAUUUACGGACCGGACACCGAUGCGGGCUCUGGUCUGGCCAGAAAAAUGGGCCGAGCCCGUAUAAUCGCCGGAAUUAUGCGGGUUUGCGCCGGAUGCGGGGUCUGCUAGAGUUGCUCUAAGAGGGGCUCUACAUCGAAAUGUACGGGUGGAAUCAAAUCACGUACACCUAUACAUAUUAUAUCCACCAUAUCUACCUUCCAUUUCGAGGAGAGAUCCUCAAUUUCGACUAUGCAAGAAAAUGCACUCAAGUGGUUGUACCGCUGAUGCUUGGUUGUACCGCUCCCUUGUGGACUGGGUAAAUGCAGGCCAAGCUAGGCGGUUGUAUUGGCCACAUGGGCGGUUGUACUGCUACCUCCCCUGGUGCGGCACCGAAGGCCCUCGUACUGGGCCAACUACCACCCAAGGGGGUCUCCCUUCGGGUUUGGCCAGCGGCACAGGGUGGUGCCGUAGCGGUUGUACCGAUUAUUACGCUAAUAAAUGGUACAACUGGUGGUGACGGCGGUUGUACUGCUUGACCCACCAGAAACACUCCUGCCUUGCGCGGUUGUACCGCCCAGCUUAGUGUUGUACUACGCAGCUGAGCAGUUGUACCUCUCAGUCCUGGUAGAUGGCUCAUGGGACUUCGGGUGGUUGUACCGCUCUCUAGAGCAGGUGUACCGCUCCCAUGUGUUUUUCUGCAUAAUGGUUGUGUUUGAUGAGGGACUAUUUAAGGAGGUGGAUCUUCCACCUCCCACCUACGUCUUGGUCUUCUUCUCUACUCCAUUAAUGCCCUAAGCUCUAUUUUUCCUAAUUUCUUUCUCUAGCCAAUCAAACUUAUUGAUUUGCUAGGGAUUGAGAGAGGAGGUCUAGAUCUACGUAUCCACCAAAAGAGAUUUGAUUCUGCCAUAUAUUUCUUGUGGGUUUUAUUACUCUUGGGUGUUUGAGCACCCUAGAUGAAAAAUGUCAUCUUGGAGCCACGAUCCAUUGUGGUGAAGCUUUGUGGUGAUGUUGGGAGCCUCCAAUUAAGUUGUGGAAAGAGCACCAAUCUUAUUUGUAAAGUUUACAGUUGUCGCCUUUAAGGGCACCGCUAGUGGAUUCGAGAAACCUUGCAUUGUGUGAGGGCGUGAGGAUAAUAAGGUGAAUCCUUGGGGCAUUGUGCCUCCACACCCCUCCAACAGAGGCGUACGUGGAGAGAAUUUCGGAAACACAUCCUCGUCUUCAUCAUCUCCACUUGCGGUUAUCUCGUUCCUUUACUUUGAGCAAGCUUCUAUCUUGUGUUUACUCUUGAUUGCUUGUGUUUCUUGUUGUGCUUGCCAUAUAGGUUAUCCACCUAGUUGCAUAUCUAUACAACCUAUCUUCAUUAUUGCGCCUAAAAUAUCUGGGAACAAAGUUAAAUAUUGUUAGUCGCCUAUUCAACUCCCCUUCUAGUCAACCAUACCAAUUGUUUCAUACGUCUAGGCUAAAUAAGGUGUCGCGCGUGCAGUGCAUACAUUACCAUGGUAUUACGUGAAGGAAAUAUGCCCUAGAGGCAAUAAUAAAUUUGUUAUUUAUAUUUCCUUAUAUCAUGAUAAAUGUUUAUUGUUCAUGCUAGAAUUGUAUUAACCGGAAACUUAGUACAUGUGUGAAUACAUUGACAAACAGAGUGUCACUAGUAUGCCUCUACUUGACUAGUUCGUUAAUCAAAGAUGGUUAAGUUUCCUAGCCAUGGACAAAGAGUUGUCAUUUGAUAAACGGGAUCACAUCAUUAUAAGCCUCUACUUGACAACGUAACUGGGUGAUUAUAAAGGUGCUCUACAGGUAUCUCCGAUGGUACUUGUUGAGUUGGCAUAGAUCGAGAUUAGGAUUUGUCACUUCGAUCGUCGGAGAGGUAUCUCUGGGCCCUCUCGGUAAUGCACAUCACUAUAAGCCUUGCAAGCAAUGUGACUAAUGAGUUAGUUGCAGGAUGAUCCAUUACGGAACGAUUAAAGAGACUUGCCGGUAACGAGAUUGAACUAGGUACUGAGAUACCGAAGAUCGAAUCUCGGGCAAGUAACAUACCGAUGACAAAGGGAACAGCGUAUGUUGUUAUGCGGUUUGACCGAUAAAGAUCUUCGUAGAAUAUGUAGGAACCAAUAUGAGCAUCCAGGUUCCGCUAUUGGUUAUUGACCGGAGACGUGUCUCGGUCAUGUCUACAUAGUUCUCGAACCCGUAGGGUCCGCACGCUUAACGUUCGGUGACGAUCGGUAUUAUGAGUUAAUGUAUUCUGAUAUACCGAAGAUAGUUCGGAGUCCCGGAUGUGAUCAUGGACAUGACGAGGAGUCUCGAAAUGGUCGAGACAUAAACAUUGAUAUAUUGGACGACUAUAUUCGGACACCGGAAGUGUUCCGGGAGAUUUCGGAGAAAACAGGAGUGCCGGAGGGGUUACCGGAACCCCCAAGGGAAGUAUUGGGCCUUAGUGGGCCUUAGGGGAGAGAGAGGGCAGCAGCCCAGGAGGUGGCGCCCCCCCUCCCAAGGGGAGUCCGAAUUGGACUAGGGGAGGGGGCGCGGCCCCUCUUUCCCUCUCCCUCUCCCUCUCCUUCCUUCCCCCUUCCUCCUUCCUAGUUGGACUAGGAAAGGGGAGUCCUACUCCCACUAGGAGGAGGAAUCCCCCCUCUCCUUGGCACGCCCCAAGGCCGGCCGGCCUUCCCCCUUGCUCCUUUAUAUACGGGGGCAGGGGGCACCCUAGGACACACAAGUUGAUUGUUCCAAGCCGUGUGCGGUGCCCCCCUCCACCAUAUUCCACCUCGGUCAUAUCGUUGCAGUGCUUAGGCGAAGCCCUGCGCCGGUAGCUUCAUCAUCACCGUCAUCACGCCACCGUGCUGACGAAGCUCUCCCUCGAAGCUCUACUGGAUCGUGAGUUCGUGGGACGUCACCGAACCGAACGUGUGCAGAUCGCAGAGGUGCUGUACGUUCGGUACUAGGAUCGGUCGAUCGUGAAGACGUAUGACUACAUCAACCGCGUUGUCAUAACGCUUUUGCUUACGGUCUACGAGGGUACGUGGACAACACCCCUCUCGUUGCUAUGCAUCACCAUGAUCUUGCGUGUGCGUAGGAAUUUUUUUGAAAUUACUACGUUCCCCAACAGUGGCAUGCGAGCCAGGUUUAUGCGUGGAUGUUAUAUGCACGAGUAGAACACAAGUGAGUUGUGGGCGAUAUUAGUCAUACUGCUUACCAGCAUGUCAUACUUUGAUUCGGCGGUAUUAUUGGAUGAAGCGGCCCGGACCGACAUUACGCGUACGCUUACGCGAGACUGGUUCUACUGACGUGCUUCGCACACAGGUGGCUGGCGGGUGUCAGUUUCUCCAACUUUAGUUGAAUCGAGUGUGGAUACGCCCGGUCCUUGUGAAGGUUAAAACAGCACAUACUUGACGAAAUAUCGUUGUGGUUUUGAUGCGUAGGUAAGAACGGUUCUUGCUCAGCCCGUAGCAGCCACGUAAAACUUCCAACAACAAAGUAGAGGACGUCUAACUUGUUUUUGCAGGGCAUGUUGUGAUAUGAUAUGGUCAACACAUGAUGCUAAAUUUUAUUGUAUGAGAUGAUCAUGUUUUGUAACGGGGUUAUCGGCAACUGGCAGGAGCCAUAUGGUUGUCGCUUUAUUGUAUGAAAUGCAAUCGCCAUGUAAUUGGUUUACUUUAUCACUAAGCGGUAGCGAUAGUCAUAGAAGCAAUAGUUGGCGAGACGACAACGAAUGCUACGAUGGAGAUCAAGGUGUCGCACCGGUGACGAUGGUGAUCAUGACAGUGCUUUGGAGAUGGAGAUCAAAGGCACAAGAUGAUGAUGGCCAUAUCAUAUCACUUAUAUUGAUUGCAUGUGAUGUUUACCUUUUAUGCAUCUUAUUUUGCUUAGUUUGACGGUAGCAUUAUAAGAUGAUCUCUCACUAAAUUUCAAGGUAUAAGUGUUCUCCCUGAGUAUGCACCGUUGCGAAAGUUCGUCGUGCCGAGACACCACGUGAUGAUCGGGUGUGAUAAGCUCUACGUUCACAUACAACAGGUGCAAGCCAAUUUUGCACAUGCAGAAUACUCAGGUUAAACUUGACGAGCCUAGCAUAUGCAGAUAUGGCCUUGGAACACUGAGACCGAAAGGUCUAGCGUGAAUCAUAUAGUAGAUAUGAUCAACAUAGUGAUGUUCACCAUUGAAAACUACUCCAUCUCACGUGAUGAUCGGACAUGGUUUAGUUGAUAUGGAUCACGUGAUCACUUAGAUGAUUAGAGGGAUGUCUAUCUAAGUGGGAGUUCUUAAGCAAUAUGAUUAAUUGAACUUUAAUUUAUCAUGAACUUAGUACCUGAUAGUAUUUUGCAUGUCUAUGUUGUUGUAGAUAGAUAGCCCGUGAUAUUGUUCCGUUGAAUUUUAAUGCGUUCCUAGAGAAAGCUAAGUUGAAAGAUGAUGGUAGCAACUACACGGACUGGGUCCGUAACUUGAGGAUUAUCCUCAUUGCUGCAUAGAAGAAUUACGUCCUGGAAGCACCGCUAGGUGCCAAACCCGCUGCAGGAGCAACGCCAGAUGUUAUGAAUGUCUGGCAGAGCAAAGCUGAUGACUACUCGAUAGUUCAGUGUGCCAUGCUUUACGGCUUAGAACCGGGACUUCAACGACGUUUUGAACGUCAUGGAGCAUAUGAGAUGUUCCAGGAGUUAAAAUUAAUAUUUGAAGCAAAUGCCCAGAUUGAGAGAUAUGAAGUCUCCAAUAAGUUCUACAGCAGCAAGAUGGAGGAGAAUAGUUCUGUCAGUGAGCAUAUACUCAAAAUGUCUGGGUAUAACAAUCACUUGAUUCAACUGGGAGUUAAUCUUCCGAAUGAUAGUGUCAUUGACAGAAUUCUUCAAUCACUGCCACCAAGCUACAAGAGCUUCGUGAUGAACUAUAACAUGCAAGGGAUGGAUAAGACAAUUCCCGAGCUCUUCGCGAUGCUAAAGGCUGCGGAGGUAGAAAUCAAGAAGGAGCAUCAAGUGUUGAUGGUCAACAAGAUCACCAGUUUCAAGAAAGGGCAAAAAGGGAAGAAGGGGAACUUCAAGAAGAACAACAAGGUAGUUGCUGCUCAAGUGAAGAAGCCCAAGUCUGGACCUAAGCCUGAGACUGAGUGCUUCUACUUCAAAGGGACUGGUCACUGGAAGCGGAACUGCCCCAAGUAUUUGGCGGAUAAGAAGGAUGGCAAGGUGAACAAAGGUAUAUGUGAUAUACAUGUUAUUGAUGUGUACCUUACUAAUGCUCGCAGUAGUGCCUGGGUAUUUGAUACUGGUUCUGUUGCUAAUAUUUGCAACUCGAAACAGGGACUACGGAUUAAGCGAAGAUUGGCUAAGGACGAGGUGACGAUGCGCGUGGGAAAUGGUUCCAAAGUCGAUGUGAUCGCGGUCGGCACGCUAUCUCUACAUCUACCUUCAGGAUUAGUUUUAGACCUGCAUAAUUGUUAUUUGGUGCCAGCGUUGAGCAUGAACAUUAUAUCUGGAUCUUGUUUGAUGCCAGACGGUUAUUCAUUUAAAUCAGAGAAUAAUGGUUGUUCUAUUUAUAUGAGUAAUAUCUUUUAUGGUCAUGCACCCUUGAAGAGUGGUCUAUUUAUAUUGCAUCUCAAAAGUAGUGAUACACAUAUUCAUAAUAUUGAAGCCAAAAGAUGCAGAGUUGAUAAUGAUAGUGCAACUUAUUUGUGGCACUGCCGUUUAGGUCAUAUUGGUGUAAAGCGCAUGAAGAAACUCCAUUCUGAUGGACUUUUGGAAUCACUUGAUUAUGAAUCACUUGGUACUUGCGAACCAUGCCUCAUGGGCAAGAUGACUAAAACGCCGUUCUCCGGAACAAUGGAGCGAGCAACAGAUUUGUUGGAAAUCAUACAUACUGAUGUAUGUGGUCUGAUGAAUGUUGAGGCUCGCGGCGGGUAUCGUUAUUUUCUCACAUUCACAGAUAAUUUGAGCAGAUAUGGGUAUAUCUACUUGAUGAAACAUAAGUCUGAAACAUUUGAAAAGUUCAAAGAAUUUCAUAGUGAAGUGGAAAAUCAUCGUAACAAAAAAAUAAAGUUUCUACGACCUGAUCGUGGAGGAGAAUAUUUGAGUUACGAGUUUGGUCUUUAUUUGAAACAAUGCGGAAUAGUUUCGCAACUCACGCCCCCAGAACACCACAGCGUAAUGGUGUGUCCGAACGUCGUAAUCGUACUUUUACUAGAUAUGUUGCGAUCUAUGAUGUCUCUUACUGAUUUACCGCUAUCGUUUAGGGGUUAUGCUUUAGAGACGGUUGCAUUCACGUUAAAUAGGGCACCAUCUAAAUCCGUUGAGACGACGCCUUAUGAACUAUGGUUUGGUAAGAAACCAAAGUUGUCGUUUCUUAAAGUUUGGGGCUGCGAUGCUUAUGUGAGAAAGCUUCAACCUGAUAAGCUCGAACCCAAAUCGGAGAAAUGUGUCUUCAUAGGAUACCCAAAAGAGAUUGUUGGGUACACCUAUCACAGAUCCGAAGGCAAGAUAUUUGUUGCUAAGAAUGGAUCCUUUCUAGAGAAGGAGUUUCUCUCGAAAGAAGUGAGUGGGAGGAAAGUAGAACUUGAUGAGGUAACUGCACCUACUCCCUUAUUAGAAAGUAGUUCAUCACAGAAAUUUGUUCCUGUGACUCCUACACCAAUUAGUGAGGAAGCUAAUGAUGAUGAUUAUGUAACUUCAGAUCAAGUUACUACUGAACCUCGUAGGUCAAGCACAGUAAGGUCCGCACCAGAGUGGUACGGUAAUCCUAUUCUGGAGGUCAUGUUACUUGAUCAUGAUGAACCUACGAACUAUGAGGAAGCGAUGAUGAGCCCAGAUUCCGCAAAAUGGCUUGAGGCCAUGAAAUCUGAGAUGGGAUCCAUGUAUGAGAACAAAGUGUGGACUUUGGUUGACUUGCCCGACGAUCGGCAAGCCAUCGAGAAUAAAUGAAUCUUCAAGAAGAAGACAGACGCUGACGGUAAUGUUACUGUCUACAAAGCUAGACUUGUUGCGAAAGGUUUUCGACAAGUUCAAGGAGUUGACUACGAUGAGACCUUCUCACCCGUAGCGAUGCUUAAGUCCGUCUGAAUCAUGUUAGCAAUUGCCACAUUUUAUGAUUAUGAAAUUUGGCAAAUGGAUGUAAAGACUGCAUUCCUGAUGAUUUUUCGAAGAAGAGUUGUCUAUGAUACAACCUGAAGGUUUAAUCGAUCCAAAGGAUGCUAACAAAGUAUGCAAGCUCCAGCGAUCCAUUUAUGGACUGGUGCAAGCAUCUCGGAGUUGGAAUAAAUGUUUUGAUAGUGUGAUCAAAGCAUAUGAUUUUAUACAGACUUUUGGAGAAGCCUGUAUUUACAAGAAAGUGAGUGGGAGCUCUGUAGCAUUUCUAAUAUUAUAUGUGGAUGACAUAUUGUUGAUUGGAAAUGAUAUAGAAUUUCUGGAUAACAUAAAAGGAUACUUCAAUAAGAGUUUUUCAAUGAAAGACCUCGGUGAAGCUGCUUAUAUAUUGGGCAUCAAGAUCUAUAGAGAUAGAUCAAGAAGCUUAAUUGGACUUUCACAAAGCACAUACCUUGAUAAAGUUUUGAAGAAGUUCAAAAUGGAUCAAGUAAAGAAAGGGUUCUUGCCUGUGUUACAAGGUGUGAAGUUGAGUCAGACUCAAUGCCCGACCACUGCAGAAGAUAGAGAGAAAAUGAAAGGUGUUCCCUAUGCUUCAGCCAUAGGCUCUAUCAUGUAUGCAAUGUUGUGUACCAGAUCUGAUGUGUGCCUUGCUAUUAAUUUAGUAGGGAGGUACCAAAGUAAUCCAGGAGUGGAUCACUGGACAGCGGUCAAGAACAUCCUGAAAUACCUGAAAAGGACUAAGGAUAUGUUUCUCGUUUAUGGAGGUGACAAAGAGCUCGUUGUAAAUGGUUACGUCGAUGCAAGCUUUGACACUGAUCCGGAUGACUCUAAGUCACAAACCGGAUACGUGUUUAUAUUGAACGGUGGAGCUGUCAGUUGGUGCAGUUCUAAGCAAAGCGUCGUGGCGGGAUCUACGUGUGAAGCGGAGUACAUAGCUGCUUCGGAAGCAGCAAAUGAAGGAGUCUAGAUGAAGGAGUUCAUAUCCGAUCUAGGUGUCAUACCUAGUGCAUCGGGUCCAAUGAAAAUCUUUUGUGACAAUACUGGUGCAAUUGCCUUGGCAAAGGAAUCCCGAUUUCACAAGAGAACUAAGCACAUCAAGAGACGCUUCAAUUCCAUCCGCGAUCAAGUCAAGGAGGGAAACAUUGUGCACUGCUGUGUACUGCAUAAAUUCAACUCCCCUUCUAGUCAACCAUACCAAUUCUUUCAUACGUCUAGGCUAAAUAAGGUGUCACGCGUGCAGUGCAUAAAUUACCAUGGUAUUACGUGAAGGAAAUAUGCCCUAGAGGCAAUAAUAAAUUUGUUAUUUAUAUUUCCUUAUAUCAUGAUAAAUGUUUAUUAUUCAUGCUAGAAUUGUAUUAACCGGAAACUUAGUACAUGUGUGAAUACAUAGACAAACAGAGUGUCACUAGUAUGCCUCUACUAGACUAGCUCGUUGAAUCAAAGAUGGUUAAGUUUCCUAACCAUAGACAUGAGUUGUCAUUUGAUUAACGGGAUCACAUCAUUAGAGAAUGAUGUGAUUGACUUGACCCAUUCCGUUAGCUUAGCACUUGAUCGUUUAGUAUAUUGCUAUUGCUUUCUUCAUGACUUAUACAUGUUCCUAUGACUAUGAGAUUAUGCAACUCCCGAGUACCGGAGGAACACUUUGUGUGCUACCAAACGUCACAACGUAACUGGGUGAUUAUAAAGGUGCUCUACAGGUGUCUCCGAUGGUACUUGUUGAGUUGGCAUAGAUCGAGAUUAGGAUUUUUCACUCUGAUUGUCGGAGAGGUAUCUCUGGGCCCUCUCGGUAAUGCACAUCACUAUAAGCCUUGCAAGCAAUGUGACUAAUGAGUUAGUUGCGGGAUGAUCCAUUACGGAACGAUUAAAGAGACUUGCCGGUAACGAGAUUGAACUAGGUAUUGAGAUACCGAAGAUCGAAUCUCGGGCAAGUAACAUACCGAUGACAAAGGGAACAGCGUAUGUUGUUAUGCGGUUUGACCGAUAAAGAUCUUCGUAGAAUAUGUAGGAACCAAUAUGAGCAUCCAGGUUCCGCUAUUGGUUAUUGACCGGAGACGUGUCUCGGUCAUGUCUACAUAGUUCUCGAACCCGUAGGGUCCGCACGCUUAACGUUCGGUGACGAUCGGUAUUAUGAGUUAAUGUGUUUUGAUGUAACGAAGAAAGUUCGGAGUCCCGGAUGUGAUCACGGACAUGACGAGGAGUCUCGAAAUGGUCGAGACAUAAACAUUGAUAUAUUGGACGAUUAUAUUCGGACACCGGAAGUGUUCCGGGUGAUUUCAGAGAAAACCGGAGUGCCGGAGGGGUUACCGGAACCCCCAAGGGAAGUAUUGGGCCUUAGUGGGCCUUAGGGGAGAUAGAGGGCAGCAGCCCAGGAGGUGGCGCCCCCCCUCCCAAGGGGAGUCCGAAUUGGACUAGGGGAGGGGGCGCGGCCCCUCUUUCCCUCUCCCUCUCCCUCUCCUUCCUUCCCCCUUCCUCCUUCCUAGUUGGACUAGGAAAAGGGAGUCCUACUCCCACCAGGAGGAGGACUCCCCCCUCUCCUUGGCGCGCCCCAAGGCCGGCCGGCCUCCCCCCUUGCUCCUUUAUAUACGGGGGCAGGGGGCACCCUAGGACACACAAGUUGAUUGUUCCAAGCCGUGUGCGGUGCCCCCCUCCACCAUAUUUCACCUCGGUCAUAUCGUUGCAGUGCUUAGGCGAAGCCCUGCGCCGGUAGCUUCAUCAUCACCGUCAUCACGUCACCGUGCUGACGAAGCUCUCCCUCGAAGCACUACUGGAUCGUGAGUUCGUGGGACGUCACCGAGCCGAACGUGUGCAGAUCGCGGAGGUGCCGUAUGUUCGGUGCUAGGAUCGGUCGAUCGUGAAGACGUACGACUACAUCGACCGUGUUGUCAUAACGCUUUCGCUUAUGGUCUACGAGGGUACGUGGACAACACUCUCACCUCUCAUUGCUAUGCAUCACCAUGAUCUUGCGUGUGUGUAGGAAUUUUUUUGAAAUUACUACGUUCCCCAACAUUACGCAUAAGCUACCGGGGUAUGUUUUCAACAACUAUUUCCCUCGGGUCAAAGUUACCCCAUAGUUUGUACCUAAGUUAUCAUGUACGCGGUACAUAUAUUACCAGGCUAUUUACACAGAAGUGACCGGGGUGUGUUUUCAGCAACUUCUUUUCCUCGUGUGAAAGUUAUCGCGGUGUUUUGUACUUAAGUUAUCAUGUUUGUGGUGCGUAAAUCAGCAUGCUAUAUACAGAUAAGUUGUUGGGGGUAUGUUUUCAGAUCUAUGGUGUGUAAAUUAUCAUGCUAUUUACACAGAUGUUAUCAGAUGAUAUGUUAUCAAUAACCACCCCCCCCCCCUUCCCCAUCCAGGUAAAAAAAAUUACUGCAGUGUUUUUACAUAAAUUAUCACAAUUGCGGCGCGUAUAUUACCAUUCUAUUUGCACAAAGGUUGUCGGAGUAUGUUUUUCAACAACUUUUUUCCCGGGGUGAAAUAGCUACCAUGAUGUUAGUACGUGAGGCAUCAACUUUCUUAUGCGUAAAUUAAUAUGCUAUUAACAAAAAGUUACUGCCCGGGUCGAAAAGUUAUCGCGAUGUUUGGUCAUAAGUUAUCAUGCCUACAGAGUAUAUAUUAUCAUACAAUUUGAACAAAAGUUACCAGGUUAUGGUUUUGAACAACACUUUCUCGGGCCAAAAGUUAUUGUGAUAUUUAUACAUGAGUUACCAGUUCUAUUAUGAGUAUAUAACAUUUUAUUUACAUAAAAAUUACCGAAGGUUACGUUUUUCAAUAACUUUUUCCUCAAGUAAAAAAUUACAGUGGUACUUGUAAGCAUGACAGCACUGGUGGAGCUUUAGCCAGGCCAAAUGGGCCAUGGCCCGCCCAGCAUAUAGGGAAAAUACGAAAUCACUAGUUAAGGAGUACUCGUUGCAAAGAUAACCCCAACUGCUCAGGUUGCGACAAGUGGCGCACAUGCAGCGCGCCACUUGUCGCAACCUGGGAGUUUUCCCUUUUUUCGUGCAUCCGUUUAUUCAAAACGUUUUAUCUCUCAAACCGUGCAUCCAAAUCUCGAACCGCUUUCACCGUUGGAUUCCUCGCGUCGAGAUCUUUAAAACUAGAUCCCAUGUUGAUAGAUUUUGACGAACUUUUUUUUCACGAAAAAACCAGACGGAAAAAAA
rnacentral:lncRNA from 1 species